rnacentral:lncRNA from 1 species
AUAUAUAUAUAUAUAUAUAUAUAUAUAUGUUUCAAUUUGUACAAACCAAAAUAGGAUAAAAAUGCCUUAUAAUUGUACUAAUCUACUUCUAUUAUUGCUAGCUCUCUUUGACUUUAGCAAUUUCGAUUAUGAGCUAAAAAUGGAACAAUAUUAUAGGAAAAUGCCAGCCUCAAUUCGAGAACUAGUAAAAUGCUGUAAAAUUGAGAUACAACACCCUCUAAUUACUUAAAUUUGAGGGACCUAGGCAUGCUGUUACAUGACAUCACUGUUUUAACCGAUGAUGAUCCAGAGAGACUCUAUACAAUAAUUAUUAGAGAAAAGGAGUGGUUUCAUACUUUUUUUUUUUAAUUUUUUUUAUUUUAGUAUCCCGUGAUUUAAAGUAUAUCAAUAUAGUAUUUUAUAGUUUUAUUUUUUAUUUUUAUUAUCUUUAUAAAUUUUUUCCGUUAAAUUAGUGACAGAGUUAAAACUGAAAUAUAUUAAAGUGAAUAUUCGAUAAAUUUAAGUGAGGUAUAUAUAUGAAGUUUUUUAAUGUAUAAUUUAACAAAAUAUUAACAGAGGAGCUGAAGAAAAUGAAACCAUAUGGUAUUAAAUUGAUACACUUUAAACCACAUGAUACUAACGUGAGAAAGUACGAAACCACAAGACUAGUAUUUGAAGUUUACCCUAAUUAUUAUUCACAUAUAUGUAUAUAUAUACACUCAAAAUUAACCAAUUUCAACCUCUGACACUAAUUAACCAUUCAUGAACCAUCAACACUGGUAACUUCAAACUAAACAACUGUACACACAUUACAAACACACAGUAUAUUCUCCUAUUGAAUACUGUAAGAUUCACCGACCGUCCCUAGAGCAAGUGGCAAAGCACUUGAUGAUUGGUACUCGAGGUCCCAAGUUCGAAUUCUAAUUGAUUCACAUUUCUANACUGUAAGAUCCAUGACUAGUAGUUGUAUUAUAUGGAAAAGAACGAACGAAUCUCAUCUUGUCCAUAUUGCAUAUAUGUAUAGAUAUAUGCCUACGACUACAAAUUCAUCUUCCUCUUUUAUAUAUGUUACAAACUUUUUCGUUGCUUGUAAGGUUGUAAAAGUUUGGGAGCGUCGUGGAUGAUCGAUCAGAUGACGGUGAGCUGCGGGAACCCGAGCGACGGAUGGGGAGACAACGGCGAGAGCGGCGGCAGGUUGAAUGCACUUUUGACGUCCGGGGCGUCCCAGUCCCAGACGCUCGUCCAGUUCGACGGCGUUAGCGGGCCGAGUAACGGAAUAUUCGGCUGCAGGGCCCCUCCUUCCUCCUCCGUCUCCGGCGACCGCUCCUUCUUGAUCGGCCGCACCUCCACCACCUCCACCUCCACCUCGUCGUCGUCGUCGUCGUCGUCGCGCUUCCGCUUAUGUUGCGGAGGAGGAGGAGGAGGAGGGGGGAGGGGGAGGGGGAGGGAGGGGGCGGAGGAGGUGCCGAUCUCGUUGGGGAAGUUGAGGAUGGCCUUGCAGCCGCGCAUCUUGAAGGCGGCGCGGUCGUAGGCGCGGGCGGCCUCGACGGCGGUGUCGAAGGUGCCCAGCCAAACCCUAGACCCGCGCCGGUUCGGGUCGCGGAUCUCCGCCGCGAACUUGCCCCACGGCCGCUGCCGCACGCCGCGGUACCUCCGCCCGUCGUCCCUCUCCGCCGCGGCGGAGGGGGGAGGAGGAGGAGGAGGGGGGCUCCAGUCGAUGCUGUGGAUCGGGGGGAGGGAGAUGGUGAGGGAGCGGCGGCGAUCGGAGGAUGAGGAGGAGGAAGGGGAGUGGUCGUCGCCGCCGAAGCGGAUCAUGGAGACGGAGGGUUCGGGGCCGAUCCGGUAGGGUUUGGUGAGGUCGAGGUAUGCGGAGCGCCGCGGCUGAGGAUGCUGAGGAGGAGGGGCCGCGGCUGCGGCGAGGGGGUCGAACUGGGCGAGGAGGACGUCGAGGGACGAGGAGGAGUCGCCGAGGAGGUGCUCUCGGAUGAGGUCGAGGGCGGAGGCUUCGUCCCCAACAAACGCCAUUAGAGAGCAAGAACCCUAGAGAGAGAGAGAGAGGAUUCGAUCUAUUCGAAGAGAGGGUUUUGGAACUCGGAAAAGAGUAGAGUUUCGUCCCUUUUGAGUUGGGGGGCCUCGCUUAUUUAUAGAACUUUUUACAGCCCACACUCAACAGAGCAUGACGUGGCAGAGUUUGAAAACAAAAAAAAAAGAAGAAGCCGUACAAAUGUUCCGUGAUCCUGGUUCAUGUUCGACAUUGCUUCAUCUGUUCUCGACUUCUUUAUACGGGAAUAGAGUAUUACGAACGGUAAAAACCACGUGAUAAAAUAAUAUUUUAUUUAUUUUUAUUAAGGAUAAUAUAUUAUAUAGAUUGCGAAAAUGCUCUUUACGGUAUGGAUUUGGAAAAAGGAAAUUCGAGAAAAGAUCAGAUCUGGUCCAGGCUAAGAUUUAAUAAAAGUUCAAGUAGAUGUGGGCCCCGCAAUGAUUUAAUAAGUUCACACAAGUGGGAGUGGAGACGUGGGGCGAGAAAGGGAGGCGGGUUCCGGGAAGGGGUUGGCGAAUGGCGAGAGCCCGUAUUGCUACGUCUUCGUGGGUCCCACAAGAUGGGCUCCUCGAUUCUCUCACCGCAAGUGGACGUAACGUAAUGGGCCAGGUUCAUUUAUCCUCCUUGUCGCGUACCCGCGAAAUUAAAGGGAUGAGAUUUACUUACAAGCAAGUGGAAACCUUGGAAAGCGAGGAGGAGGAGGAGGAGGAAGGGAGGAGGAGGAGGAAGGGAGGAGGUGGGUUCCGGAUCCGAGUCGAAUUCGCAAGUUAGGGUCCGAAGAAGGUUCGUGUACAACGAACCUGUCGUGCUCGUGCCAUAAAGAGAAAGGGCACGGAAGGGAAGCUGGGCCCAUUAUUAUUAAUUAAUUAAUUAAUUAUUAAUUAGCCAGAUUUUAUCAUGAUGAUGAUGAUUGAUGAUGUCGGCAUCACGGGGGCUAAAACCAGCCUUUUGGGUGCCGACGUGGCAUAUCGAGUAGGUUGACUUAUUGUUUUUAAAACUCACGGGAAUUGAAAAUUUUAUUUUACCCACCAAAUCUAAUGCCGUGGGCUAAAUACCUAUGGCCAUGUUGGGUAAUAGGAUAAUUUUUUUUAGGGUUAAAUUUUUUUAUUCCUAGAAUAUUGAGAUAUUCUAAAAUAGAGAGGAAUGAAAGUAAUUUUUUAUUUGGCAAAAUUUUUAUUUAUUCUCUGCAAUAGACAAAAUAAUAUUUAGUAACUUUCUUGGAAAAAAAGAAGAAUAAUUAGUAAAGUUGGUUGAAAUAUUUUAAAAUACCAAGUUUGCCUUUAUAUAUACAGUGAAUUUUUUUUCUUUGUAUAAUACAUAUACAAUGCUUGAUAAAUUUGAAUAUUAUUUUUUCAAAUAUAAUUACAAUGCAAAAAUUAUAAUUAAGAAUAAUAAUUUUUUUGUGCAGAGCAGUGCAAUAUGCAAUAAGAUAAUUUUAAAUUAAUUUAUACAAUUAGAAAUCUAUAAUAACCAAUAAUAUAUGCAAUAGUAACUAAUUUAUUUGACUGCCAAUAAAUUUACAUAGUUAAACAAAAAUCCUAAUAUAAAUCUUAAUACAUUGGACAAACCAAAUCUCUAUAUAUUUGGCAUUGGAAAAAGAGAAGAUAUGAUAAGUGGGUAAAGUGGCGCGGUUUUCAAGGCAACCAAAAAAGAAGGCCAUGCUGCCCCUCGGGUUCCAGGAAUAAACCUUAUUCCAUGGUUGGGAAAGAAUUAAAUUAACGGAUUAUUCCAGUGAGAAUUGGAAUAACCCGUUUUGACCGGUAUAAAUUAUUUCGGUACUUUUUUUUUCGAUUGGCAGAAUAACGAGAAUAAAUUUGAUUAUUCUGUAGUUAUUCCGUUACGUACCAAACGGAGCCAUAGGGUGUUUGGUUAGGGAACAAAAAGAAAAAACUUAUACAUAUCUCUAAAAUAUACAGUUUUUACUUAUAUUCGAACCAAACAAAGUCUUACGAAUUACUAUAUGAGAUUUUUAUGGCUUUGUGAAAAAGGCGGGACAAGAUCUCUUUCAACUUGGAGGUUGAAAAUCCAAACGAGGUUAGAGCGAGAAAUCAAGAACGUUUUAAGGAAAGUACAGUGGCAAAUGCAAGAGAUACGUACUCUUACAAUUACGAUGACAUGAUUAUAAAAGAGGAAGAAUCCAAGUAUCAGAUGCCGAUCUCUGCCUCUUUAAUCUGAAAUGUAGAAAUAGUUGUAAUGCAAUCUAAAAAUAGUUAUAAUGUAGUCUAAGAAUAAACGUAAAAAGGUAGAACUCACCACCCUUCAACCACUAUCUUGUCUGUCGACAAUCUCGUCCCCGACGACAACUCCGACUAUCACAAGACCACUCUAUUUUUACCGGCGAAAGGACUUCAAUUCCUCACUCGACUAUCCGCACAGAUUCACUCCUUCUAGGAUUGUUGUUGCGCGGCGGUCUACGGCAGUCGAGGUCCUAUGCUAUCUACUUCGGCUCGGAGCAGCAGUCGGGGUCUGCAGAAGCCGAAGCCUUGGACCUUCGGCUCGCGCACGAAGCUCCCAAGGUCUUCCUUUGAGUUUGAGUCCAAUCGGAUCGUUUUCUUUCUAGACUGCGUCUGAAAUCAAGUCAGAUCGAACCUUUCAUUGAGGGAUAUCACUUAGCAAACCGUCCACAUAUCGCGUCGAACGCCAAGUUGCGGCUUCUCCACCAACAACCAACACACAACUCUGAAACAGUUAUUGACUUUUCGGAUUCUAGAAGUACGCUAAGUUUAGGAUGCAAGUAUCUCAACGUUUGUACGAGUUGAAACAAUCAAUAAUACUAUUGGAUUAGGUCAAACAGUAACGCUCUACAUGCACAGUUGAUGAUCCGUACGCUUUAGCUAAGACACGGAAGAUUUUGAGGUCAAUUUACAAGGCCAUGUAAUUAAUCAGCAAGCACGUGAUUAACGAUGGAAAUUAGAGCCAAAUCAUGAUGUCACCUUUACUUACCAGGUGAUUAACUAACACUUUUAAAGUCUCUGUUAUAACGGUCAUAUUGGAGGAAUAUUAUUCGAAACUAACUAAUUUUUAUGUUAUGCUGUUUAAAAUUGUUAAAGAUUUAACUAGACUAAUAUAAUAAUUUUAUUUUAAAAUAAAUACUUAUUCUUAUAUAUUCGCAUCUAUGAAACAUAUAUGUAUUCCAUUAUGGAAUCAGUGUCAUUGAAAUAACUUUCUCUAAUACUAAAUUGAUAUUGCUUCGAGCACAAUGUGUACAUGCUUGUGGCCUAUAAACUUUUUUGAAGAAGAGGAAGGAAAAAGAAAGUUUGUCGAUCUGUUUGGCAUAUAAGAGAUUACGAACUUUGGAGGCUUCUUUUAUCUGAUCGAAUCGGACAAUCCUAGCUGAUUUUUCAUAACUUACUUCUGCAGUAUCGCUCUUUCGUUUUAUGGUAAUAUCCAAUUUAAUUUUUAAUAUCGGAGGGGUCUUGUACACUAUUUUCUAUUCGGUUAAAAAUGUACAAAAUAUAUUUGAACUAUGGAUCAUUGUGAUUUGAAAACUCGUCUUUCUAAAAUUUUGAUUUUAUUAUUCAAUUUUUUUAAUUUGUUUAAUAUGAACUCUGACGAUAAAAUUUAAGCUAAUUAUUUAUUUUAAUAAAUUUAUAGUUGCAAGAAUUAUAUAACGUAUAUUACCUAAACAUAAACAAUAUAUUUAAAUUUUAAAGUCAAAAUGCUAUAGGCUAACUCAACUCAAACAAAAUAAAAGAUUCGAUACUAAAAUCAAAAUUUUGAAUGAUUGAAUAAUCAAAUCGAAAUGAUUUAUAAUAUUUCAAGUAACUUGUUAUAGUUUUUUAAUUUUUCUGCGUUCGGUCAAUCGAUGGUAGUAAGCAUGCGUAAGGACAAGUCAAAUAUACGAACAACACUCGUUGUUCUCUCUCUCUCGCUCUAUAGUGGGGUUUUGACUGUUUAAAGAAGGGACCGAGAAGAGAAAGAAGAAGAAGAAGUAGAAGACGGAACCAAACAAACUAGCCGAGUCAAAGCUUGGGCUCACCAAUUAAUGCUUUUAAACAGGUUUGACCCGUGAUAACGGUUUGACUUUUACCUGGUUCGCUAGUAUCCUAUCCACUCAUUCACUUACAUAUAUACAGAAUUAUAACUCCUGCCCUCUCAUCUUUGUUUUUUUGGUUUUUCCUCUCUCAUCCUAAUUAUUCAUCAAAAUUGAUAGAUGAUUAGAAACUUAGGAGUACAACGAUUACUAUGCUUCUAAUAGCACAGUAACCUUACUAUAUAUAUAUAUAUAGGAUAAUUUUAAAGCACAAAUCCCUAACCGCGAGAAAAUUUUCAGUUGAGAGAUCCCAACGAUGGCUAGUUAAGGAGGCCUAGUGCGCCGACAUGCAUCACUUUUAUUUCUAUCCAAAAUAUUUAACUUCUUCUCGAAUGUUCAAAAUACUUUUGAAUUUAGUAUUAAAAAAAAUUCAACGAAUGAUCGGAUGGAGGCAAAAUUAAAACGUGACAAUGGAUCGAGAGCUUCCCAAUGAGACGUCCUUGGGGAGCUCCCCAUUAAAGUUUUAUCCCGUCACGGCUCAGCACAAUUUGGCCAUUUAUGUAACACUCAUUUAUUUAUUUAUUUUGUACCAAUAAUGCUGUAUGUAUACUAUUAUUUUGAUAGCUUAAGAUAGCAGAGUUACAAGCUGUUUCAUUGACAUAUUGCAAUGAUUAAAUUAUAAUAUUUUUUCUACGGCAUCAUUAGAAAAUAAAAAACUCAAGUUCUAGCUGUUUUGCUUAUUAGUGUUACAUGGAGCCUUAAUAUCAAAUGCGCUCUAAAAAUAGAGGGUUCUAAGGUUGACAGUGAUUGCUGUCUCACAAAAAUGUAUGGCGCGAAAAAUUCUCAGCUAAUUGUCUUUUAAGCAAAUUUCAAAUAUUUUAAUUUCAUAUACUUUUUAAAGUUGAAUUACAACUUUGUUUAGAAUCAACAGCUCAGUUAGCUAUAUAGGAGGGAAAAACAAAUAAACACAAGCACACAUAUAUGGUUUUAAGAAGUUAAAUUUCUACUCUUUUUUUUCCAUCUCAAGAAUUUAGCCUUUUUUGGUGUUACAAGAUCAAUUCAAAACAUUUCCCUUUCCUUCCUUUUGUUUUCGCAUUUCAUGCGCCAUAACUCUAUAUUCUAGAGAGAUUAACCAAGCUAGGCCUUUCAUUCAUUAAUUACGUAAGGAUUCAUUCUAUAUGCCACAGUUUCUAGCUAUUGUAGCUUUGAGUACGUCAAAGGUUGAAACACCCUUAUUUUAAUAUUUUAUAUUUAUAGGCAUUUCGAUAGAAGCAAGAUCAAUAUGUAUUAUUAUUAUGAAGAUUACGACAUUACAAGAGUUAGUCCUAUACGUUGUUAAACUUGUUGCAGUACAAAGCCAAGGUUCUAACUAGAAACCAGAGUUUAUGCUCUAACAUACUGCAAUGUAAUGAAAGAGUCAGAGAUUGGGUGUUUUGAAUGGAUCUAAAAGCUAUCCUGUUUAAUUAUUUGAAGCAUUCUAAGCUUUAAUAUCGAGCUUUGACCUAUAAAGGAUGAAAUAUAUAUAUUUAUUAUUUUAGGUUCUUAAGUGUUGAUGAUCAUUGCAAUAGAGUGAAAUAGUAGCUUAAAAACUUAAUUUCAUGCAAGUCAAAUUGCUCGGUAAAUGUUUAUCUGGAACAAGCUCUUUGAGAAUACAAUGACACAAGAGGUUAAGCUUGAAUUAGUUUCCUGUUUAUUUGAUUAAAUCGAAGGAAAAUAAUUGCAUUCGCGCUAAAUUGAUGGUCUCCAUUUUGUCGACCUUUUGAAAUUCUCGAUAAAAGGGAUAUGCGUUUUGCAGGAUUAAAUUAACACAUGAUUAAUAAGACUAUAAACAAAGCGAUAUCGCCAUCAUUUGAGUUGGUAGAAAUUGCUUCAUAGGAAAUUGCUACAUAGAUUAAAAAAAUUUAGUAGGACAGCUACAAAUUAAUUUAACUAAUUUGGUAAUUAAGUUCUCAAACAAUCUGGUAACUUUAAUUAUAUUUUAUUAAAGAAAAACAAAAAAGGGCCACUUGUUAUGAUCGAAGACGAGCCCGUGAUUAACACGACCAAAACAAUUUAUUAAUUAAUGAGGUGAUAAUUAUCUCUUAGUAUUGGCCAUUUAUGAUUUGGCUUUGUCCCCUUGUUUGAGGGCUCUUCUAAUCCAAGAGAGGAAGGGGGAGAGUGUUGGAUUUGUAUCUAGUCAUUUUUGCGCGUCUCUGAUACGAUUCAUGGAGAUAUAUUUCAUUUGCUUUCUAAAUAUUUAGUUGGGUUGUAAGAUCAAAAUGCAGUCGAUUUCAUUGAAAGAGAUGGCUUGCUCAAUAGUGGUGAAGUAUAGUAGGAGCAUUAUUUUGAGUAGAUAAGCAUGGUUGGAACUUGAUUACUUCGCAUUAAUAUUGUGGGGUUCAUGAAAGCAUUUUACAACUUGAAGGCCUAUGGCUAGGGUUGGAAACACUAAUUCAAAUCUACUGGGUUCGACCUGAUCCAACCUAUCUGGCUAUCUAUGAUAUAGAUUGAGUUUUAGUCAAAACCGCUUGGAUUGGCGGGUUGGGACCGCUUUCCUGGUCAACCCGACCCGACCUGUCCGUCGAAUGAAUGUCGAUUGAGUUUUGGUUGAAAUGAUCAAACUUGUCGGGUUGGGUUCGGGGCGGGGCCUCACUAGUUAUAGCACACCCUAUUCCUUCAUUCAUUUUUCUGUCUCAUGAAACCAGUUCCAAAAGGAAGGAACCAGUUCCAAAAGUUUAACUGGAGCGGAACAAAUUUGCACAUCUAUUUACUUAUUUGGUUUAGUGUAGUAUAGCCUUAGUAUAUGACCUAAACUUGACCUGAUCCAAGCAUGGCACAUAAACAAGCUCACCUCGGAUUUGACGUAAAUCUGAUGAGGUGCAAAUCGAGCCCGGUGCUUAAGACGCGACCUUGGGCUAGGCCAUUAAUGGCCCGGCCCGGUCCGGACCGUAGUGUGUUUGUUUGUUUUGUGAGUGGUUAAGGGAUAAAAUCUAGCCACAACAAUUUUUUUGCUUAUCUUAGCAAACCCAUGAAAAACAUUCACCAAAGCUUAACAAAGUAGUAGGACUUCACCCUUUUAUGUGCAUAGUGAAAGUCUAAAAGGACUCGGGGCAUUUCUGUUUAAUGUAGAUCUAAUAUGCUGAACUCUGUAACUUUAAAAGAGUCAUCAGCGUCAGUAUUUGUUUCAAGACCGAAGUCACGAGAUCAUACGAAUUCCCACUCAUAAUUGAACGAAAAUCCUCGCUUUCCGAUCGCUUCCAUACAACCUGUUAGCUUGACUCCGUCCAGCGCAUCAGCUAUGAACUACCUAUUUAUCGAACCACCGUUCUCGUCUCUCGAUUCAAUCCCCGCCACCUUCAAUGAACUUUAACUUUUUUUUAAAAAAAAAAAUGAUCUGAAGAAAACUGCAACUCACUGGGCGAUUGAGUAGAAAGAUCAAUCACAAAGAAGAGGAGAAGAACGAAGCUGCAAAUACCAAUGUUAAGAGAUGCAACCUGGAGAGAGCAAAGCUAGAAGGGAUAUCAAACAGAUCCAAGAUACCUAGUUUUUUCUAACAUCCGAAAGCGACGCUGCUGUAAGAAACUGUACGACGCACAAAAUCUUGAACGCGAAAUACACAGGCCGAUUCAUGACUUCCUCUGUUACAGCCAGAAUAUUUACCAUGAAAAAUAUAAUGACAUCCCCAAUUUUGCUGGACUGAUCAGCUAGAGAGACAAAAUCUAGGAACGAAACCGACAACUAAAGGUGAAUGAACUCAUCUUUGUUAUGCGUUAAAAUCUAUUGUGAAAAUGGAAGGAGAGAUAAAGGAGAUCUGCAAACAUUCACUCUGACUUGUACUGUAGUAUUAGCUGUAGGAACAUAUAAAUAUACAGGCAAACCAUAGGAAUGUACAUAUCUGACGAACAUCAGCUUAUAUCCAUGAGUUCAAUUAUUUCAAAAUGCAUUUGCAAACUAGGGGGCUUAUUAGAAAGAUAUACUCUCUCCAAUACCUGUAGUUUUCCUCCGCACCUGCGAGCUUCAUCUUCAAGUAGCUGCUUCAAUGUGUCCUUCUCCUUGCGAAUCCAUGGGCGAUAAUCGUCACACCAUUGUCUAGGAGUGCCAUGAAGCCCGAAACGAAUACUCGCAUUCCUAAGCAGCAAGUGAUCAGCUAUUUUCUUGAUCACAACUCGAUCAGUUAAGUAUGCUCCGGCGCAGUUUAGGCCGACAUCCACAUAAUGGAAUUCGGCGAUGCUGAAUAAAAGCCUUUCUUUAGUAGCAGGGACAAUGUGAUAUUUGGUUUCACGUGGAGUACUGGAUGACGCACUGUUAUUGGAGCUUCGAGGAGAUUCAGAUGCCGCAAAGGGAAGUUCGGUUAACAGUUGGUUGACGACAACCCCACCCUUGCUGAAACCUAAGAUGAUCGUCCUCGGCGAAGUGGUUUGCAACUGAGGUGAAGGAAUUCUCUCGCCAGAAACCAUACUUUGGAUCUGAUAAUCAGCAAUCAGCAAUAUAAAUGAACAUAAAUUAUAAAACUAAGGAAAUGAAAAUCUCAAAUUAUGGUAGUUCGAAAAUUAACUGGAAUUUGAACGAACAGAGGAUUUUGCUUACAUCCCAACAAAUCAUCUAAUUUACAUAUAUAGUCCUGCAGAAUCUUCUAAGGAGAAUGUAUGCAAAAAUUCAGAUUUAAUCCCACAAUUGAAAUCUGAAUAGUGAAAUGCACAAGAUAUGAAAUUACUAACCAUAAUAUUGUGUAUACCUCUUUAAGAUCAUACAGUUAUAUUGCAAAAUUUCCACUGUAUUAUUGAGUCAAAAAAAAUCAAAAGAAAAAAAAAGGGAACCUUUGUGGUUCUAGCAUUCCCCAUAUGAGUAAAUGCAACUCCUACUCCAUUUCUAAGCAUGUAUCUCAACAAUUUACAAUCCAAAACCCUUUGUAGAUAAAAGCAAACAUUAGAAAUUGGUCUAUAGAACAACAACAUCAUGCAAUCGAAACAAAAGAACCAAUUUUUAGCUACCUGAUCGACGCACUUCGUUAAGAUGGAAACGAUCGAAGAGGACGCAGGUAACCUAUUCGGACGGUAUCGCCUCGGAUCACCCCGAGAGUUCACCGUGGGCACAAGCUCCUUGUAUACGGCGAAAGACCCUGCGAAGGUGGAAGCGUCCACCACCCAGGCGUUGGCGGCGCCACCGAGCUUGGAGACGAGUAUCUCGGCGACGUUCCUCGGAUCGGAGAGCUUCUCGAUCACCGGAUCGCCCGUGCCCUCGACGCGAUCCCCAUUGAAGAGGAUCGCGUUCACGGAGGGAACCUGAUCCCAAGGAGGAGGAGGAGAAGGAUUAGGGAAUUUAAUUAGGGUUUUGAGAGGGGGGGAGGGUGGAGAAGGGGGAGAGGGGAUUUGUACGGCUAGGGUUUUGGAGGAAGGGGAGAGGAGGAGGGAGGCGGCGACUCUGAAGAGGGGCCCGCCGCCGCCGCAGCCGCCGCCGCCGCCGCCGCCGCCACCGGUGAGGGAGACAUUGAGGAGGCCGAUCCAACGGUCCAUCGGAAGGCGAUCGGACGGCGGAGAUUGAGGGUGGGCGGGUUCUUCCACGACCGCGGUCCAAAUCGGCGACGAUUACGCCGUUCCCGACGAAUAUAGUUCGUAACUUGUUGGGAAUCUGCUACUCGGAAAUCCGCAACUCUCUGGGAAUCUGGUACUCGAAAAUCCGCAACCCGUUUGGACACCUACUGCUAUUGAUCCGAUAUCAAAUAUAAAAUUCCGCAACAACAGAAACGUCACAUAGAAUUUUUAUCUGAUACAAUUAUAAAAAAAAUAAUAAUAAAAUAAAUAUACGAAUAAAAUAAAAUUUAUUAAAUAAAAAAAAUUAUAUAUGACUCCAGUUUACGAUAAAAUUAUUACAACUCGAGUCUUCUUUUUGAAUGUACCUAUUAGGUGCAUGCAAUCUUUCUGUUGUAGGACACCUCUAAAGAGACUUUUUCUCUCUCAGCCGUACACCACGUAGACACACUCGCCAAUUUGCAUAUAUGGAACUAUAUAUAAGGCUUCAUCCAAGAUAUACCAAAUUUUAGGAUAAUUAGAAUUUCAACUUCAAAUUAUAUUUAAUUUAUCUCUAAUAGAUAUAAAUAUUUAUCCUAAUUUAGUUAAAUUUUUACUCUAAUUAAUAUUUAAAUAUUAAUUUAUCUUUAAUAAAUUCAAAUAUUAAUUCUUAUCAAACUAGAAAAUUAAUUACAAAUCUAACAAAAUCCUAGCAUAACUAAAAUUCGUGCGCUAUGGAAGGUGCGCACUUAGCCACGGAAUUGAUAGUUGGUACUUCGGUCACAAAUUCAAAUUUUAAUUAAUUUAUAUUUUUUAAUUAAAUUUAUUUUUCGAAAUAUAUUGUGCGUUGUUUCGGAUUAUCUUUAAUGCUCUUCUCUAUGCAAUUCAUGAAUUUUGUCAAUAUUUUAAUAAUCCAACCCCGUUCUUUGCAUGAAUUUUGUUAAUAUUUUAGUAAUCUAACACUGUUCUUCAUAAAAAAAUUCUACGUAUUUUCUUAUAACUCUGCCUCUAAAAUACUGGUGAUAAGGAAAAUGUACAAACCGCAGAAUUGAAAAUUUUGAGCCAGCCCAUAUAUUAUGUUUGGAUUAUCAGCCAAGUUAAUUUUGUACAGUCCAAUUUCAAAAAACUCUAUGCACUUUCUUAUAUCUACUUUUAAAUUCAGGCUUAAUUUAACGACACGAUCGAAUCGGAUCAUGCAACAGGUAAAUUAUUGGGUCGUUCUGAGAAACUAAAAGCUUAGGCUGGGCCAAACUUUUUCAGGCCUCUGCAUUAUUUUUAGGAAGGCAAAAACCUCGAUAAAUUGGGUCGCGUCGACCGGGGUCGGGCUAGGCUUCAUCAGGACUCUCCACGCAUGAUCUCGUCCACAUAACUCAACCUGAAAAUCAACAACACAACUUGAUUAAGGCUUCGUUUGACAUUGCGGAAAAAGUGCAUUACGUGCGGUAAAAAACGACGAUGAAAAAAUACCUGUUUUUAUAUUUCGUACGUAGUAUUACAUUUCGCAUAUUUUCUGCGGUCACAUUAGAAAACGCAGAAGCAUAUUCUUAUAUACUUUUUCUCAACUCUACUCUAUUCCUAUAUGUUUUUUCUCAACUCUACUAUAUCUAAUAGCGUUAAAUCCAUCUCGGUACCAAACUAAGCCUAAAACAAACUUCCACACGCGAAUUUGAUACCAUUAUGUUAUUUGCAGUAGCAAACACUAACGAUUUGAUAAACUCUGUCGCGAUCGGUAAUGACGACUGGUGGCGAUGAGGAUGAUGAUGCAGCUCCACGGAAUCACGAUUAUUGCUUAGAACUGGACCACUACCUGGAGCUCACCCCAAUCCUUCAGCAAAACGUACACAUGGUGACUAUUUUUCAGAACAUUCCGAAAACAAUAGUUAUGUGAUGGACCCAAACCCACAAAAACCCAAAUGUGAACGAAUCCGCAUACUUUUCAUUCAUCUCAUGGCCCAACACCCAUUUGAAUCAUGUGAACGCAUCGUACUCACAAGCGAAGUGGCCACCCCUAUAACAAGUAAGGAUAGUUAUUAUUGUUACCAUGCGCAUAUUUCUAAUGCGCAAUACACGAAAUCUUAUAAAACAUCUAUGCAUGUAAAUAUCGUUUGCACGAACAUAAUCCGCUAAUGUAAGAGAUGGCCCUUUUAAAGAUAGCAUUUGCAAGACGCGACGUGUCACUAAAAACUUUGCAGGAGUAAUUUUUUUACAAUUUUACACACUUGCGAAGGUACUUUUAAGUAACUACAGUGCAAUUUGAUUUUGUACGCACAAAUAUGAGUUCAUAUAGAGUGGCAGUAAUCAAAACUUUGCUUGUAUGUUAAGGACAGAUGCAUUGAACUUGACAUUACGUGAAGAUAAGGCGAUGCUCCUUGUCCUUAUCAUACAAUGACUUUUUCGACAACACCCCAAACUUAACUCCAAAAUUUUAUACGGAAGAUUCUUUUCUGCAUGUGCUAGUCCAUCCACCAAUAGUAAUGUAAAGGUCCAAAAAGAAAAUGUAAAUAAUUUGUGACAUAGUACUCUAAUUAAAUCACAAGAGAAUCGGAUGAACUAGGUUUGUUGUACCUCAAUUCAAAAUUGCUACUCACAUGAAAAUUUAUUAAAUCCGGUCAUUAUAUAGUAAGUGAAUUUAAACAGGUUCAGUAAAUUCCAUCUAUCACUACUAAAUAUGCAUAUGCUUGUAUCACUUUUCUCUUGGAUAUGAUUUAUAUAAUGGUGUAAUAUAAUUUACUAUUCAGGGCACCUUCAAGAUGACCAUAGCUUUAAAGUUUAUUGGCCUAACCUAUUUUAUGUGCAUUUUUGGUUUCUUAAAAAGCAUGAAUUGGAUUCGAGAGACGCAAAUUGACUCUAACCAUAUUAGAAAAAUUUUGUACAUUAAUCAGUUUAUUUUGUCGUCCAUUUGGACAACAAGAUUAACCUUAGCCACUAAUUAAAUCCCACUUUUUGGCCGACCUACUUAUUGUACUUAUUAGUCGAAAUCGGCCUUUUAUAUGAAUGGUAUACGAAUUAGCUGAUGUGCUAAAAACGUGAUUUUUUCUAACAUUAAUUAAUUCUCGUUGGCCUGAGUCUUACAGUCUUAAUCAUCGAUAUAUUUUUUAUAAAUUUGAUCUUCUUCAUGAUUUUGAUCAUAUUUUUACUUCCAAAUUCCUUUGCUAAUUUGGGUUUUUGUAUUUUCGUCGUUUGGUUGAAUUUUUUAUUCUUCUAGAAUUUCAUUCUUUUAUUAAAAAUCUUCUCCUCCAAUUUUCAGUAGCAAUCUCCACGUUUCUCGUGCCGUCUUUGUUUUUGAAAUUUUUUCAAUCAACGAUAAAUUCAUUGCUUAAAAAGUAUAUGCUAAAACUUCUGUCUUUCUUUUUAAAUUCUUUUUUACCAAAUUCUUUUUCAAAAUUACUGUUCUCCAUUACACUACACAAAUCUUGAGAUUCUAAAAAAUAUCGGAUGACUAUUUUUCAUUAUUUAAAGUUUAUUCCAUCGAACUUUGGUAAGCCAUAUUGAAUAAAUCAAUCUAAAUCCAUAACAAAACUUGAAGAUUCGAAAAAUAAGUUCGGAUUUGUACCCUUCUAUUUGGAUGACGUCCUUAGUUUAUCGAAAUCUCGCUGAAUUUUCUGUACUUUGGCUUGCUUGGCUAACCCUCCAUGCUAUCUGGUCAAAUCUUCUUUGAUCUCUUCACGGGCUCUCGUUGCUCUCUUUUCAUCAAGUAUCACAACCAUUUUUUCUUCGAAGUGAUUCCUUACUUCAGUUUCACCUGAACGUCAUCUUCGUCAAUCUGCUACGAAUUGCUUGACUUUGACAUAGCUAUCUGGUACAUUCAUUCUAUAUUCUUUUCGAAUCUAUUAUCGUCUAACUUAUUUUUGGCUCUAAUACCAAUUGUUGAAAACGUGAUUUUUUUUAUAUCAAUUAUUGAAAUCGGUAUUUAUGCUGAUACCAAUUAUGUAACCCAAUAUCUAAAAUCGAAUAAAAUAAUAUGAAAAGGAGAUAUUAGAGGAGAAAGUUGAAAAUUAAAUUAAUACUUUAUUAGUAAAAAGUAUUUAAUUAUACUUGGACGACACUCUCGGCCUUAUGCAGUCAUGUCUACUAUGAUUUGCUCCUUUAAUUAAUCUUAUACCUAACUAUAUAGAGCUAUCAACUUAUAACAGAUGAUAAAUUUAACUUUUGUUUUGAAUAAUUAUAAAUCAUACUCUAAUUACGUAAAUAACUUAAAUUUGUCUCUAAUAAUAUUUUAUUUAAGUUUAGAUUAUUAUUUUAAUAUAAUGCGUUUGUUGAAAUCUUCUGCACGUUUUGUGGUAUAAAAAAUCUCUUUUAAUACAUCAGAGGGUUCCAGGUUCCAACGAGCUUGAAUAUUAAAUAAAUAAGGUAAUGCUGUGUGCAGUGUGCUCCUCACAAGAUGAAUCCUUUUAUAGCAAUUUCAUGCGCAACAUAGCAAACACGUAAAGAUUGGUAGUGUCAAACAAUCAAAAUUUUUUAUAUCAUGUUCAUCAAUAUCUUCUCUUCCAUUUUUUUUUUUAGAGAAAUGUAGCAUAUUAUUCGAUUCGUUUAGUUCUUUUAGAAAUAAAUUUAACCGAAAAUAUGAAUUAACUAGAAUUUAAAUUUAGAAUCUCAGAUACCAACCACCAAAUUUUUUAUCAUUUGCGCUAGAGACAGUUGGUUAUGUCCAUCAAUAUCAUAUCAAUAAGUCAAUUGGUAAUUAAAGAGAGUUUGUAGAGAAUCGGCACUAAUUAAAAUAAUAAGAUUUCUUCUUUUGGCAAAUUUCACUUUUUCACCAUGCUAUUCUGAUUCAAAUAUUCUCCAAGAAUAUUCUAAUAUUAAAAACACGAAACACCCUGGAAACGGCCAUGAUUUUGAAUCGCGCUAACAACGCCAUAAUCACACGUGAGGGUUUCAACUUUCAACAUGCCAUUUGUUCUCUUUUCUUUAUUCUUAAUUUUUUAUUUUAUUUUUAAAAAAAACACAACCUUUGAUGCAUCAGCAGGAUCAGUAGUCAAAUUCAAAUAUGAUACUAAAUAAUCAACUUAAACUACUCUUUAUAUAUUCCAUCUUACCUUAUCUCAGCCGUUCGAUCUUUUAUUCGACAUAAUCUUAGGGCUCUUCUCGCGCGCCUGCAAAGUGUAUUAUUUGAUAUCUAUUAGAUGCGUCUACACUUUUAUCUAAGUUGAUCCUAUAGGAUUUAGAUAAUUAAAUAAAAUAAUGCUUUCAUUGUCAUCAAUAUUUUAAUUAAUUAAUGAAAAGACAAAAGGGUGUUUGACUAAUGGAAACAAGUGGUUCUCACAAGUAAAUGUAGAAUUUUUGGAUUUUCUUAUUGGAAUUAUAAUCCAUUCCAAAUUACUUUUUGACAUCUAUUAAGAGCCAAGGUAAAAUUUCCAGUACAUAUAGUGAUAAUGAUUUGUAUGGCAUGAUAAUCUUAAUUAAUCUAUUGGUUUUGCUGUCCCUCUUUCAAUUGAUUAUAUAUCUUAGAUGUUGAAAAUUUGUUGAUGAUAAUUAAUGAAGUAUAGAGAGGUGUGUGUCAUUUAGCGAUCAUAACCAAAGCAUUUGAUUAUAAUUAGUUCUUGUAAAAUCUCAAUAAUUCAAUUUUUUAGAUUAGUGCAUUUCACGUGAGGAAAUAAUCGAUUGACUAGUGAUCAUUCAUGCUAUAGUGGUGUAAGCAGCAUCUUCGGAAUAUAUUCCAUUCAAUCAAAUGUUUAUGUUGAACAAGAUAUUCACGCAUCCAAAUAAUCGAACUAAUUUAAAAGGAUAUGCAUGGGUAAAAAGAUCGAUUAGCAACAUGCAAAAUCUCGAGGAGCCAAGCAGGCUUAGGAUCAGUUCUGAUACCAUGCAAGUUCUUCAUGAUCGUAAUCGAUUUUAGUAUUUAUUUAUAGUAGUAGUCGAUGGGUCCAUUGACACACUCAUCAUUCUUAGUGAUGAUAUUUAAUUGACACUGUGCAUGGCGUAGUCUUUUUAAUCCAAGUUAAUUAAUUAUACUUACAUUAAUUAGAUGUCACCUCGUGACAAAGAGGAGGGAAAUACCCAGGAAGGAGCUUAAGAUACGGACCCAGGUUUACGGUCCAUUUUUUAUCUACGCACGGUAGUGGCUUUCCACGUUGACGUAGACCGUGCACCAAAACCAAAAGCCACUUUUCCUCUCCUUGUUAUAUUAAUUAAUAAAUGGUAAAAGUGGGCCAUGGUGGCUCCACAAAUUCCACAGUCAAAUUCAAAGAUGACCCUUUGACUAGUCAAUCUCCCCCCCCAACAAAUAUUUUAAUUAAUUGUGAUCUUGUAUAUAUUCUAUGAUCUGCAGCUGAUCUCUCAUAGCCGUCCGAUCGCCAUCGAUCAGCGCACAUUAAUUUAUGGGUUCAUUCGUCCUAGUGCGCUAGCUGUAACUUUUGACAUUUCUUCGAGUACCAAAAUGAAUUUUAUCGAACUCUUUAAUUAAACCAUGAUGAGAAAAUUAAUUUUCUUUUUUUUUUUUUGCUUUGCUAUGUUCCAGUUUAAUUGUUUCUGCUUUUAAUUUGUAUUAUUUUAGACCUGCAUUAAUUUACUUAAGUUAUAGUUCAAUUAAUGACUUAACAUUUUGGAAGUUAGUUUAUUUGGAAUAAAAUGAAGUGAACAGAAGAAAUUAAAAGUUAUAUACACCCAUGUUUAAGAGUCGGGAGAGAAUUUUAUCUAUGUUCAACAUCUUAUUCAGGCAAAUUAUAUACUAAAUAAGACCCUUCUUUUACGGUUAUUUUUUACGUUGUUUCACAAACCUAUUAUUUAUUCUACGAAGCUUCUUUCAAAAGCAGUAAAAUGUUAAUAUGUAGUACAAAGGCCACUAUAUAUAUAUGCAGUGCAUUACGGAGUGAACCUUUUCAUUAAUUGAUCUGUGAUGAUCGUUACAAAUUGCAUGCAAAGCUAGCUAUUGCAACUAUUAUUAUAGACCUCAACCCUAAGAAGCCCACAUCAUCCUAACCGUACAUCUUUUUAUUCAAGGGCCAAAGACUUAAUUGUACCAAUAACUUGCUGCUAUUGAUAGUAUAUAUAUUCUAGCCUAAUUAUAUAUAUAUAUAUAUAUAUAUAUAUAUAUAUAUAUAUAUAUAUAUAUUUGCAAAUCUCACUUUACUUAUUUUAGGUAUUUUUUUGGUUUGGUGUACGCCCGGCCUUUUACUCAUUUUUUAUAAAUGGAAAUUAGUAGAAAUUUUCAAACCUUUCUCACUUACACAGAAAGUAAGUUGAUUUUGUAAAACGAAGCGAGUGGCUGAAUAUGUAGAAAUAAUUGACAAAUCAUGCCGCCAACAAAUCUAACAGCGAGAUGCGGCGUAACAUCAUGCAUUUCGACCUUCUUUUAGCUUGCAAGGUGUGAGAUCUAUGGUUGGGUCAAGAUGAAAAUGAUGGUUAUUUUAGAAUAAAUUGGAUACUCAUUUUUAGUCAAAUGACUUUUAUUAGAAUAACUAAUUUAGUUUAUCUCUAGUCAUAGUGAUCAUAUGUAGCAUCUAUGCGAAUUCACACAACAUGAAAAGCAUAUAACUCAAACCAAUCGAGAACUGUUUGAGAUAGUGUGACGCACUAUUAGAUUGUGGAAAUCUCCUAAUUAGUGUUAACAAAUACAAUAAAUUAUGCAGCUUUGCAAUUGUCAAAAAGUGAAUCAAAUAAUAAUACAUGAAGAUCAAUAGUAAAAUAUAUACUUGGGGAGAAUAUAUCUAUUGACAUGUUGGCUUGUUGGUACAUGUGAUAUUGUAUAGUCAACAAAAAAUUGUAUUAGUUCCAUUCAUAUUAACUAAGGGUUUACCUACUAAAAUUGAUCUAUAUUAAUAAUAUUAGUAAUUACUAGUUCAAAUCUACAUGUGCUCCUGGGUGGACAAAUUAAUGACUCAAAAACAAAGUUAUUACCUCGUACGUACGUAUUCUUAUUGUGAGUUUAAAAAAAUAUAUAUAUAUAUUUUUUGAUAAAAAAUACGACAUAUCUAUUAUUACAUUCGUUUGAUAAAUUAUGAUAAAUUUUUAUUUUUGGGUUUAAAUAAAAUUGUAUAUAUAUAGCACGUAUUUACUCAUCCUUUUUAUGCAAAACUAUUUUCGACAUGCCAGUGAAUAACCCAACAAAUUAAUCACUUCUAACUAUAAAUUUCUCUUUGGAUAUUCUAUUUAAUUAAUUUAACACCAUUCAAUGGUCAUCUAAAUUGUAUUGAAUCAACUAACUCCCCAAUUUUUCUUGCUGAUUUGGACAAAAUGCAUGCUCGAUCCUCUAAUUUUAUCACGUGGUAAAUGAGAAAUAUAUUAUUCGCAAGAAAUCGUGAAAAUGACAAGGUUAUAUAUGCCCCUAUAUUAUAAUGUAACAGGUUGCAUUAAGCGAGGACUAUUAUGUAAAUAGCGUAGUGUUUGCUCGUUUCUUUUUUGUACAUGCACGAAUGGAUCGCUACAACAAACGGGACCCCAAAAAUAAUAAUAAAAAAAAAGGCACGUGCGAGAUAUAGACGGGUCGAGAUUAAAGUAUUAAAUUCAACAUUUGUAAGAAAAAAAAUAAUUAAAUUCUUUAAUUAUAUCGUUAAUUAUUGUUGGGUAUGAUAGUCGGAGACGUAAGCAAAAAAGCCGAAUAUGGCGGAAAAAGGUCAUCCAUUAAAGAGGAUGCGACGUAUGCCACGUGGCUUCGGUUGGCGCGGGAGUCCGACGUGGCGUGUUGGGAGUGGUUGUUUGGAGUGGAUCGGUACGACCGUGUUUGCAGGCGACGGAGGUAGAUCAGGUAAUGCGAGUGGGUCCCACCACCGUCGACCUUAUCCGAACGAGUCGGUCUAGAAACAUUGCAUCUAUCCGGAGUCGCUCUCUCGAUCUGCGAUCCCUCGCCAAAAGUUGGAAACUUUUUUUUUAUUUUUUUUAUUUUUUUAUUUUUUAUUCUUAUUAUUUUUCACCAAUUUUUCCACUCGCCACAGCCGUUUCCCAACUUUGGAAGCUUCUGUUCCCCUCCGCUGACGUUAACGCCUUCUAUAUGCGAAUAUGCACCGGUUUGGGUUACAUUUAAAAAAAGUAAUUUUUAUAAAAUUGAUUUCGAUUUGAAAAAUUAAUUUUGGUUAAAAAUUAUAGGGUGUUCGGCUAAGUUUAGAUAAAAGUAUUUUUUCUAAAGUAAUUUUGUAAAGCUAUUUGGCAAAAAAUAUUUUGAUAUUUGCAUAUAUUAAUAUUCUUACUAAAUUUUUAAAUUUAAAUUCGUACAAAAUUUAAAAUUUGAUCUUUUGAUUUAAAAAAUAAUUUAAUAUUUAAAAUUUAAAAAUUAAAUGUAAAAUAAAAUUUUGAAGUUUUAGUCCAAAAUCAGAAUCAAAUUUCAAGAAACAGUUUUUUUUUUUAAUUUCUGAUUCAAGAAUCAAAUUUAAAUUUUUAAAUUUUAUUCUGAAAAAUAAAAUUAAAUUUUUUCAACACUUGUUGUCAAAUAUUCUACUGAACUCAAAAUCACUUUUGGAUUCAAAAUCUCUUUUCGAAAGCAGGGCCAAACAUCCCCUAUCUUCUCCUCUGAUUUGCUCUUAUAUCAUAAUCCCGUAUUACUGGAAUUUUAUUUGACACAAGUUAUAUUUGGAUAUACUAUAAUUUAUUUUGAUAUUCAAAAUUGUAGAUUCUGAAAUCAAAUUGGGCACGAAUCAAGUUGGACAAAAUUUUUCUUUUCUUUAUAUUGAAGUGGUUGAAGAAGGUCUCUAUUCUCCUUGUAUUACAUGUAAUUAAGUUGACAUUCUAAAUAUAAAGUAAAUUUUUUUAGACAUUUGCCAUACUAUUUAGUGUAGUACAAAAAUUUACCCAAUCUAAAUGAGGACCUAAAUGUAAAUAUAUCCACCUUCCCGUCCUCGUCAUCUUAUUUAACUUUUUUCUCACUAUCUGUGUUUAGUGUAAUUGGCGAAGUGUUUAAUAAUUAAUUUUUAAUAUUUCUAAUUCGACACCUAGUCGGUUUAUUUUUCAAACGAAGCUUUUUUUAAAAAAAAAAUAUUUAAAACAGAUAAAUUGCUAUGGUUUACUAAAAAGAAUUAAUUUUUCUUUCUUGCCUUUUUCCUUUUUUUUUUUUCUGUGGAAUAGGGAGAUAGAGAACCCUCAUUAAUCAAAUGGAAUGGUGAUUUUUUUUUUUAGGGUAAACUUCAAACACCACUUCUGUGAUUUCGCACUUACUUAUUUUAGUACUCUGUUGUUUAAAGUGUAUCAAGUUAGUGUCAUGUGGUUUCAUUUUUAUCUUUUUAUUAUCGUUUUCACUAAUUUUUUUUUAUUAAAUCAGUGAUAAAGUUAAAAUUAAAGCGCACUAAAGUGAAUAUUCGAUAAAUCUAGAUGGAAUAUCUGAAUUUUUUGUGUAUAUAAUUUAACAAAAUAUUAAUGAAAAAAUUGACGAAAAGAUAUAUAUAUAUAUAUAUAUUUUUUUUUAAUGAGCAAAGUUUCCACCCAUUGUGAGACCCACCGCGCUGGUUCACAGAAAUGGGCGAGUGGGCCAACCGCUCUUACUUGUGCAUCCCCCCCUCCACGACGCGACAAAAUGCCAUCCUACGUGUCACCCUCGCUGACGGCCUCACAUCUGAUGUCAUCCACUGGCCACUGCUCCAUGGGAGUAAUUUUUGAGUGUACCUUCUCUUCUACCAUAUUCUUCCUAAAAAAUUGUCUAAUUAUCUGCCCUGCUGUCUCAUCGAUUUCUUUUCUAAAUUAUUGAGUCAAGUUAAUUAAAUUCCCAUUAAAAGAGUGUUCAAAAAUAUGUGUUUUAAUCAGAAAACAUCUCUAGCCUUAAAAGCACGGAUUUCUAUAACAUUAUUACUGUACUGUCAAACUCAUAUGCCGCAUUAAAAAAAUUUAUAUGAUAUAAUAAUAAUAAUAAUAAUAAUAAUAUAUUUGGCCAUCUGUAACUGCACUCACGUAUUGUAGUGAUGAUGAGAUAAAGAUAAAAAUAGAAUAUCUGAUGGUCUAAGUUAAUAUAUAUGUGAUAAACAAUGCCUAAGUAGAGGGCUCUCCUUGCCGACGCUUCCACAGUUACAAAGAAAAUUAAUUUAUUAUUAUUAUUAUUAUUACCUGACCUUCAAAGUUCGAACAACAAAACAAAAAAAAAUAUAUAAUAUUUUAAAAAAAACGAAUAAAAAAAUAUAUUAAAAAGAAAGAAAAUUGGGCAUUUCAUCACGUGCUCGUAAACGAGGAAAAUUCACGGAAGCACGAGUUGCCCGAAUUCGACCUCCCACGGUCCCACCCCCAACAUUUCUCGGAUAUAUAAAACCGUUUCCUCACACCCACCCUUUCCAACCCCAAUUUCCACUUUCACCACCGCAUCUAACCCAACUCCUCCGAAACAAAACGAAAAAAAGGAAGAAAGAAAGAAACUAGCUCCCACCGGCGGUGACGGCACCAUGUCCCAAAUGACGGGCCAUUCCGCCGGGGACCUCGACCUCCACCUGGAGUCCAUCCGCCACCUCCUCCUCGACGACCUCGAGAUGCCCUCCGCCGCGGUGAUGAGCUUACCACCGCAGGGCGGAGGCGGAGGCCCCGUGUAUUGCCGGAGCUCGAGCUUCGGGAGCCUCGUCGCCGCGCAGUGGGGCGAGCUCCCCUUCCGCGUCGACGACUCCGACGACAUGGUCGUCCUCGGCGCCCUCCGCGACGCCAUCUCCCAGGGCUGGCUCCCCGACGGGCCCCCCAACCCCGAUCCGCUCCCGGCGGCGGCAACGGCGGCGGACGCGGCGCCGACGCCGACUCCGACGCCGGCGCCGAUGCCUCAGACUCCGACGCAGCCGCGGGCGGCGGCGGCGAAGGGGAAGCACUACAGAGGGGUGCGGCAGCGGCCGUGGGGGAAGUUCGCGGCGGAGAUCAGGGACCCGGCGAAGAACGGGGCUAGGGUUUGGCUCGGGACCUUCGAGACCGCCGAGGACGCCGCGCUCGCCUACGACCGCGCCGCGUACCGGAUGCGCGGCUCCCGCGCGCUCCUCAAUUUCCCGCUCCGGAUCGGGUCGCACGCGUCCGAGCCCGCGCCCGCGCCCGCUUCGCCGUCGUCGUCGAAGCGCUCCUCGCCCGAGCCCUCUUCGUCGACCUCGUCGUCGUCGUCGUCGUCGUCCUCCUCCUCCUCCGCGAUCUCCUCGCCCCGAUCGCCCUCGUCGCCGCCGAAGAGGCGGAAGAGAGGGGAAGCGGCGGCGGCGUCCAUGGCCAUGUUCCCUGCUCCAGCUGUGGCUCCCAAUUCGGCCGAGAUUCCGGUUCAAGUCACCGUCCCGGUUCAGGCCCAUACCGGUUUGGGCUUCGGGGCUAGGCCGGUCGAAUUCCCAGCUGGGAUGCAACUCACACGUGUCGGGCAAUUAUUGGUUGGUUAAUCCAGCGCAAGUUUGUUAGAGUAAGAAUUAGGGAAAUGUGUUGGGCCCCACACUCCCCCCUCAAAGGAUCUUCCGCGGACUCUUGAUAUAUUUGAUUUGCUGAGGCAAAAUCAUAUUUUGGAAUGCAUCUUUAAAUUAAUCAAAAUUUUAUAUAUUUUGUACAGUCGCAUAUCAAAAUUCGGGGUAGUAUGCAUUAGAAGUGGAAUUAGUGGUCUCAAGAAUUUGGAAAAGUUUGGAGUAAAUAGUAGAUAGUUUAGGGGCAAAAGUGCGCACGAGAGAGAGAGAGAGAGAGAGAGAGAGAGAGAAAGAGAGAGAGUGUCAUGCUUUACUUGUCGCAGUGUAGUUUUAGGAUUUUGGUGUGGUGGUGAAAAGGCUCUGGCGUGGUUGCAAUGUAGCAUGUCUUCUUUAAUUCUUUGAUGAAGGUUGUCUUUCUUAAAGAUUUUUUUUUUUUUUUAAAUAAAUGAAGACUCAUGAGAAAUCAAACUAAACAUAACUAACAUGCUGACCAAAAAAACACCAAAUAUAUAUAUAUAUAUAUAUAUCAUGCUUAACUACUGAGAACAUAUGAUAAAUGUGAGGAUUAUACACUCUAUCCCCGUGUGAUCAAUGUGGCCUUGUUGUUGUCACUCUCCGCUACACUUCACAGCAAUGAUGAAAAUAACUUAUUAUUAUUCUAAACACAAUAAAUUCUCGAAGAAGAUGCUUGUUUUGGACAAGCUUGGGUAUUCUAGAAUAACUAAGAUGUUUCUGGAACAAGUGAAGAUGCAAUUGAUCGUGUAUAAUUUGGGAAGGGAAAUUCUACCGUCAAUUCUCAAUAUUCUUUUUACUUUUCUAAAAAGAUUCAACUUGCUGACUGCAAAAAAAAAAACGUUGUGUUAUAUUUAUAGAUUUAGUGAGCUAAAUAGACUCGCCGAGUCAGCGAAGUUUCUCAAAAAUAUUCUUGCAGUACACUUGAAUUGGAGCCCUCUAAUUUAGUAGUCUUUUUGUAAAUUUGACAAGCCUAUCAGCUAGAAAAAAAGAAAAUCCACAGAAAAGAAGUAAUUUUAUGGUGCUGCAACAAUUUUGCUAUUAGGCUCGUCGAGUCAGCAAAGUUUCUCAAAAAAGUCGCUGCAGUAUACUCAGCGUGGAGCCCUAGACUUGCCGAGUCAGCAAAGUUUUUCAAAAAUAUUCCCGCAGCACACUCAAAGUGGAGCCCUCUAAUUCAAUAAUCUUUUUGUGAAUUCAUUAAGCCUAUCAGUCGGAAAAAAAAGAAAAUCCACAGAAAAGAAAAGUAACUUUAUGGUAUGCAACAAUUUUGCUAUUAGGCUCGCCGAGUCAGCAAAGUUUCUCAAAGAGGUCCCCAUAGUAUACUUGGAGUGGAGUCCUUAGACUUACCGAGUCAGCAAAGUUUCUAAAAAAUGUUCCCACAGUACACUCAAAGUGGAGCUCUUUAAUUUAAUAAUCUUUUUGUGAAUUCAUCAAACCUAUCGGAAAAAAAAAAAAAAAAGAAAAAAGAAAAUCCACAGAAAAACAGUAACUUUACCGUAUGCAACAAUUUUGCUAUUAGGCUCAUCGAGUCAGCAAAGUUCCUCAAAGAGGUUACCGUAGUAUACUCGGAGUGGAGCCCACUAAUUUAGUAAGUAGCCUUUUAUCAAUUCGACGAACUAAUCAGUAGGGGAAAAAGCAAAAAAAAAGAGAAAGAAAAUUCACAGAAAAAAUUGUAACUCCCUGGUCUUGCAACAAUUUUGCUAUUAGGAUGGUCACACAAUAACUAAAGUUCAAGGAAUUAAACAAAGUGAAACUAAAUUAAAUCUUAAAGUCUAUUUCUCCAACCGACCAUCCUAUCAUAAAUACCAUUAACAAAAUAUUUUUUACAAUGACCAACACCUACUGAAAAACUAGCAGUCGAGAUAACAAAUCUUGUUUUUUCCGAAAAAGUCACUUUACAAUACUAAAUUAGAUAUUAUAAAAAAAAGUGAUGGUCUCAUUCUUAAUAAUCGUGAUUAAAAAAAAAAAAAAAACAAGGUGUUUGAUCUUGUGCUUAUCCUCUAACAAAUAAAAUAUCUGACUAAAUGCACAGCAAGCAGGUUGUUUUGAUCGCGUGCUAUCCAAGCAGAAUGACUCAUAAGCUUAUUAUAAUUAGAUGUUUAACAGCUGUUCAACCUCGAAUUAACUAAAUGCUUCUAGAAUUAUAUACAUAUUUAUAAUUCUAAACCCUAGUCCGAAGUAAUUAAAUAGAUACACGUGAUCAAAAUGGGCACAUUAGAACCCGCAUGUCGUUGGCCCACGCUGAGCGUCUGUAAAAGCGAUGUUUUAUUAGUGUUUUCUAAGUAAUUUGAGCAUCUUUUAUUUUGGGUUUUGAAAUUUUAUUUGAACUUCACACUGUAACAAAAGCUUUGGUACUUUUUUUUUUUUUUUUUUUUUUUUUGCCGAUGAAUGAUUUUUUAAGUAGAGCGACUGUGGAGUAGACAGGUCGUAGACUCGUAGUGGCACUAUGACGACAAGCCAAGUCCCCCGGAUGAGCUCAAAGAAGUAAAUGCCCAUGUCACAAUACAUACAUACAUACAUACAUACAUACAUAUAUUGCGGCUUCCAAUUCCACGAUGCGGCUUCCAAUACAUGCAUGCAUACAUACAUACAUACAUACAUAUAUUGUAGCUUCUAAUUCGGUAGUACAGAAGCCUCCGUGCUAUUAAGUUGUUUUCGAUGAUGCGGCUUCCAAUUCGACGAUCGGCUCCGUUAGACUUGAUCUAUAGUAUUAAAAGUAUUUGAAAACUAAAUUUUAUAAAUUUUUGGCAUCAUUUACUUAUCAAACGAAUAGUCUAAAAAUAAACGGCUGAAAAUAAAAAUCUCCUAAAAAAUGAUGAUAAAAAACUUGAAUUUAAAAUCAGAGAUAUUGAUUUUACUCUAAAUAGUGAAAAAAAAAAUUCUAUAAAAAUUUCAUCAAAUUUGGAUUGUUUUAAACCGUUAAAUUCACAAAUGCAUCAAAUCUACCAUUAAAAUUAUCAAUUUUGAGACCUUUUCAUCACUAGCCAAAUGAUAUCGAAAAAUUAUAAAAUUUAGUUUUCAAAUAUUUUUCAAUAGUAUAAAUCAAGUCUAACGGAAUCGAUCGUCGAUUUGGAAGCCGCAUCAUUGAAAACAACUUGGUUGCACGGAGGCCUCCGUGCUACCAAUAGUAUACCAGCCUAGCUCUAUAUAUAUAUACAGAGAGUCUAGCUAGGGUACUAUCGAUAGCACUAAAGAUUUGGUGCUAUCGAGUUUUCUACCGUUAGAUUUAACUCUCUGAUUAUUUUUAUCCGUUAGAUUAUACUAUUCAACCAACCAUUCACUCAACCCUAGGAGGUCCACAUCAUCCUAAUCACCCAUUUCUCAAUCUAAGGGCUAAAAAAUCAAUAGCACCAAUAGUUUGGUGCUAUUGAUAGUAUUCCAGCCUAGUUCUAUAUAUAUAUAUAUAUAUAUAUAUAUAUAUAUAUAUAUAUAUAUAUAUAUAUAUAUAUAUAUAUAGAGAGAGAGAGAGAGAGAGANNNNNNNNNNNNNNNNNNNNNNNNNNNNNNNNNNNNNNNNNNNNNNNNNNNNNNNNNNNNNNNNNNNNNNNNNNNNNNNNNNNNNNNNNNNNNNNNNNNNNNNNNNNNNNNNNNNNNNNNNNNNNNNNNNNNNNNNNNNNNNNNNNNNNNNNNNNNNNNNNNNNNNNNNNNNNNNNNNNNNNNNNNNNNNNNNNNNNNNNNNNNNNNNNNNNNNNNNNNNNNNNNNNNNNNNNNNNNNNNNNNNNNNNNNNNNNNNNNNNNNNNNNNNNNNNNNNNNNNNNNNNNNNNNNNNNNNNNNNNNNNNNNNNNNNNNNNNNNNNNNNNNNNNNNNNNNNNNNNNNNNNNNNNNNNNNNNNNNNNNNNNNNNNNNNNNNNNNNNNNNNNNNNNNNNNNNNNNNNNNNNNNNNNNNNNNNNNNNNNNNNNNNNNNNNNNNNNNNNNNNNNNNNNNNNNNNNNNNNNNNNNNNNNNNNNNNNNNNNNNNNNNNNNNNNNNNNNNNNNNNNNNNNNNNNNNNNNNNNNNNNNNNNNNNNNNNNNNNNNNNNNNNNNNNNNNNNNNNNNNNNNNNNNNNNNNNNNNNNNNNNNNNNNNNNNNNNNNNNNNNNNNNNNNNNNNNNNNNNNNNNNNNNNNNNNNNNNNNNNNNNNNNNNNNNNNNNNNNNNNNNNNNNNNNNNNNNNNNNNNNNNNNNNNNNNNNNNNNNNNNNNNNNNNNNNNNNNNNNNNNNNNNNNNNNNNNNNNNNNNNNNNNNNNNNNNNNNNNNNNNNNNNNNNNNNNNNNNNNNNNNNNNNNNNNNNNNNNNNNNNNNNNNNNNNNNNNNNNNNNNNNNNNNNNNNNNNNNNNNNNNNNNNNNNNNNNNNNNNNNNNNNNNNNNNNNNNNUAUAGAAAGGAGAGAGAUGAGGGGAUGGGGAGAGAGAGAGACUGCCGGCUACAUAUUCUUAUGAGUACCCGAUCGCCUUCGUACUCAUAGUUUUUUUUGUUUUUUUCUAUGAUAGGAGCUGCUGAACAACGGCAUCCAUUCGUUAAACAUUUUCUAGAGCAUUUAACUUCUAGAAAUCAAUUCACAAUACUUUAAACUCAUUUACCUUACGAAUCAAAACCACAAAAUUGACAAUGUUUUACGGCUGGUAUAUUGAUAUUGCUAAUUUAACGGAUGCAGAAGAAUUGUGAAUAAUUGAAUUUUUGAUAGAAAAUUCUAUUCACUAUUCUAAUAAUAGAUCAAUAACUCGAUCUUAAAUUGAAGGAUCCGUAUCAUUCUUUUUUUAAAACGUUGACUCGUUGCGAUUUUUGACCGUUCUUUAUGCCGUUGAUGCGAGUUUUUAUGAUUCGAAAAAUUGCACGAAAUUUAUUUUCUAUAAGUUUUAAAUACUCUAGAUAAGUGUUUAAAUCGUAUGGUAUCGGCGAUCGUAAUCAUAAGAGUAUAGUAGCCCUACUCUAUAUAUAAUAUAUAUAUAUAUAUAUAGAAUUAGUUACCUAUACUAAUCAGUGGACAGACGUCCGUGCUUACUAAGUUGUUUUCGAUGAUGCGGUUUCAAAUCAAUGAUCGGACUCUGUAUAGACUUGCUCUAAACUAUUGAAGUAUUUAGAAACUAAAUUUCAGAAUUUUCGAUGUUUUACAAUAAACAAGUAGUCUAAAAUGAACGGCUGAUAAAAAAAUCUCACAAAAAAUGAUGAUAAAAGAUUUAAAUUUCAAGGAUCCAGUAUACUAAUCUCACUCUUAAAUAGUGAAAAGAAAUUUUCUAUAAUUGUUCAUCGCAUUUGGAUUGUUUUACAGCGUUAAACUCAUCGGCAUUAAAUUGUCAAUUUUGAGGAUUUUUUGAUUCACUAGUAAAUGAUGUCGAAAAAAUUGAAAUUUGUUUUCAAAUACUUUCAAAUAGUGUAGAUAGGUCUGACGGAGCUCAGGAUCGGUCAAUUUUGAAACCGCAAUCAUCGAAACACUUUGUGCAGGAGGAGCGCUCCGUGCUACCGUAGCUGAUGUAGCGGACGUAUUAAUACUUAUAAUUUAUAUAUAUAAUAUAUAUAUAUAUAUAUUAUAUAUAUAAAUUGCAGCUAGAAUAUUUUAGAAGUAUCUCCCUUUGGUGCUUCUAGGUUUAGUCCUUGGAUCUAUAUCCUUAAAUUACAUAUAUCCUUAGAUCAAACACUUAUUUCCACCUUUACCACACCUACAACAUUCAUCUCAACCUCACAAUCUCUCAUCAGAGGACUAAACAUCAAAAGACAUCACUUGGUGCUUUUGGAGUUUUCUAUAUAUGUGUAGAGUUGAGCUUAGAAUACUUCUCAAAAGCACCAUAGUGGUGUUACUUUGAGUUUUUAACUCGUUGUAUCGGGAAUUGUAGGGUGGGUAUGAUGGUGGUAGUGGGGUAGUUGGUAAUUAAGUAUUUGAUCAAGGAAUAUAGUAAUUAUACAGUGGAUCACGGUAUUAGAAACUUAGAAGCACAAGUGGGUGGUGCUUUAAAAGUUAUCCUAACUCAACUCUCUCUCUCUCUCUCUCGUCUCUCUAUCUAUAUAUGUAUUAUAUAUAUAUUAUAUAGAGCUAGGCUACUAUACUAUCUAUAGAUACGAGCUCGGCUACUAUGAGUGUUGGUUUCGAUUCUAGGCGUUCAAAUACGAUCCCAACCGUUUAAAAGGAUUGUAGAGUUAUUAUAAAAUUUCUAGAAAUAAAUUUAUUUAUUUUUGACUUGUUUAUUUUUAUGAUCAAUAUUUUCAAAAUGUCAUAUUUCAAGCUAUUAGACAGUUUAUGGAGUUUAACAGGCUGUUAGAUAAUCUAAAUUCUUCAAGUUUGAUAUAAAAUACUUUAAACUAUAUAGAUUAGUUAACUCUUGAUCUUGAAUUUUAAAGUUCUAUAUUCAAAAUUUUAAAGGUUAUUCAAUUUUCCAGUCCAUUUUGAUAUAAUUUAUUUACUAAGUAAACGAUAUCGAAAAGACGUAAAUUUUAUUCCUAAGAAAUUCAUAUACCCUAGAUCAUAUUUAACGGUGUGGAUCGUUGAUUUGAACGCCCUAAGAUCGAAAACAAACACUAUAGUACCGGAGCUCAGUACUAUAGAUAGUAUAGGAGCCUAAUUCUAUAUAUAUAUAUAUAUAUAUAUAUAUAUAUAUAUAUAUAUAUAUAUAUAUAUAUAUGUGCUAUUGUAUCAUCAUAGUUAAGAAAUAUAUCACCUAAUAUCUUAACAAAUACUUUCAUCAUUAUCUCUACAUAAGAAUUAGGAUAUUUUAAGAAUUUCUACAAAUAUGACUCUUUUCUCUCUAAUUUUGAAUGUAAGAGGAAAAUAGCGAUUUCUUCCUUCUUCUCUCGACGUCUUUAGCCCUUUGCGCAUCCGAGAUGUGGAAAUGUGGAAGAUUCAAAACCAUCAAAAUAAGGAUGAUUCAAGAAGACUGUAAAAUAAGUUAUUCGAUUCAAUUUCGAUUCUGAAUACGUUGACUAUUCAAUUUAUAAAUUUUCACUGUCAUCUAAUUUCAAUAGUCAAAACUCCAUUAUUAAGAGAUUUAUGCAAAUUGAAGUUGAGUAUUCCACACACUAUAUUUUUUUUAAAAAAAAAUCUAAUUCUUAUCCUGUAUAUAUACCCAUGUCAUCCUGACAAUACCUAACAUGAAAGUACUGAUUGUUCCAAACACAAGUGGUGUAGAGUUUGAUGGUUGAUACUCAGGGUUCAAAUCUAGUUUAUUCACAUGUUUAGCCAAAUCUAUUUCUACAUAAAUAAACAAAACCGAUAACAUACUACAUGUGUUUUUUUAAUUUUGCUUUUUUUAAAAAAUCUAACAAAAACAUGUCUAUUUCAUCGUUUCCCCCUGCAUCCAACGGUCUCGGCGACAAAUCAUAAGAUCGAAGAAGCAAGAAAAAUGAAAAAUGCUUGUUGUACGUGCUUUUUGUACGUCCUAUUACAAUGUAUCUCUUACACUUCUCAAUAUAAUUUUUUAAUUUUUUUUAUUUAUAAAGAAAAAUUGAUAAAACUAGUAAAGAAGUAAUAGUCUUUGGAUGGAUGAAGUGUAAUAUUUGUACUCUACUUAAAAGGGUACAAAUGGCAUUGCUCAAGACGAAAUUGCCCCCCCCCAUUAAGUUGUACAAAACAUCAAAUUUACUCUUUCACAUCAAAUAUAUUUCUAAAGAGUUUACUAUUACUAAUUUAUUUUUAUGUAACUCUCUUUUGAGGGUCUAUUCGAAAGAAUUUGAGAUUUUGGAAGGGUAUACUAGAAAGUAGAUAUUCUUGAAGGGUAAAUAUGAAAGUCGGUAACUUUAUAGGGGCGUAUAAGGGCAAUUGCCCCUGUACCCAAGCGAGAAGCUGCAGUGAGUGUGACCUCUUCAGGCGCACUAAGGGAAGCAGAGGAAGAGAGCAUUUGGGCGUUUAGUAGAAUAUUCCGACCACAGGGCAGGGUUUUUAAUAUAAUUUUAUGAUGAUUAACACUUAAUAUCAUUGAUUAUUAUUAUACUAUCAUUAAGUAUAUAUAUAUAUAUAUAUAUAUAUAUAUAUAUAAUGAAAAAGAGGCAGCUGGUAUUCCGAGCCUUGUCGACUUUCCAGAGCAGCAUUCAAAAUAGGCCCAUGCUGGAAAGCUAAAAAGAUUUUCUUGUCUGGUCAAAAUCUGUAGCCGAAGACUCGCAAAGUCUUUGCUCGGACCCUCAACUGAAGACUUCGCAAAAAGUAGGAGAGGAGGGUGGGUUUCGCCGCUUGGCUCCAGUUCCUCCCUACCUCGGAUCUCAAAUUCCACCCCCCCCNACGAGCACAUCCAACCACACAAUGUUCUCCCUUCGUACAGGGUUGCGUCUCAGAGACGGCACGUCCAACCACACAAUGCUCUCCCCUCGUACAGGGUUGCGUCUCAAAGACGGUCUGCUUCGGGGUCCACUUGCUAUGAACUUAUUGGCGGGCAAAGGUUUCCUUCAGCCCCGCCUCGUGCGCAUGACUGCUCAUUAGCUGCGGAAUGCAUCCACACCGUGAGAAUGCAUCUGAACCACCCCAUCACUAAUUAGCCGCCAACAUGAACAGGCCCGGAAACCCAUCAGCUGCACCUUGUCAACUACGCCGUCAACGGUCCAGCAGCUUCACCAGAAAGUGCACGAAGGCCAAAGUAUGCGGAGAGCCCACCCAUUUUGAAAGGGAAAAACUGCCCAUUUCGUUAACAAUUGAGACGUAAUAGCUAAACAAGCUAUUAAUUUUGACUAAUCAGUAAACAGAAAUAACUCAAAUCUAAACAAACAAACUUGAGGGUCUGCUUCAAAAUGGCCUCUAUUUAGAGGGUCUUACAACAACUAUAACAAAUCAAAAGGCUACUUUCAUGAUAUCAACUCUAAAUGUCAUGAGGCAAAAAAUUUUUAAAAAAUAAAACAACUCAAAUAGAUUUUUAUCUUUUGCUACAGUGAUCUAUUGUUGUGUUAAAUAUACUCGUGAACAAUAGUUUGACCACCUGCUGUUCAUAACUAUAAAUUUUUCACCAAUACACCGGUCGAGACCAAUCUCAAAAGAAAGCGAGGCCUUCUGAUGCAGAACAUGCAUUCUCAAACCUUCUCGACCAACAAAAGAGGAACUUCGAGCAGCUCAAUCAGAGAAAAGGCAAAUGGCGAUCAUGCUAUCGGCUGCCGCCUCCUGCAAUUGAAAUGAUAGACUAAUUGAUAAGAAUACGGAGAGAUUGCCUCGUAGACGGCGUGAUGUGGGUGCACGAGAAAAUUUUGAAAGUUCUUCAUUUUGGCCCUCCUAUCUGAGGAGAAUUUAUGCCAGCACCUGGUGUGCUCGUUCGUAUGUAAAACCACGAAUCCAUCUCUUCUAAUUUUUAUCUCAUAUUUUGAAUCCAUUCAUCUAAUUUCCAAGUAGACAAAAGACUGCAACUGCACAAGUCACAUGGAUUAAAUAUGGAUUAAAUAUGAGAUUGGUUUGAGGGCAGACAGAUAUGUGAUACGCGGAUGCACUGGGUGUAGACAAUAGUUUUUCCUCUAACAGUAAAUGGAAAAAAAAGAGAAGAAACAAAACACUGUUAAAAGUUCGGUGUGCCGAUCAUUCAGCUUAUGUUAUAUGUUUGAGAAACAAAGUGAAACUAGGGUAAAAGCUUGUGGACUAGUACGAUUUACCAACUCGAAUAAUAUGGACAAAAUAGUCUUAAUUCUUAAAAUAUAAAAUUACCUCUUAGAUCGGACACGGUCUUCCUCAAAGUCCAUCACUCCAGACUCAGCGAAGAUCUCUUCACUGCCCCGUAAGUCCAUGUCGGCCUGCUUAAAUUGUGUAACUUCUGCCAUCAUAAGUGAGACACAUAGACCGACAUUUGCUAAAUUUCAUAAGCAAUUGGCCAUUAUACACAGCUGGUGAAAUGAUGACCCAAAAUAAAAAUAACUAAAAAGUCACGUCACCAUCAAGUUCCCCUAUUUUUAUAGUUUAUGAUAUAAGUAUAGUCAAAGCAAUAUGUGCUAAUAUUAGUGUCAGACACGCUUUUCAAAACAUCAGAUUCACCUUGAUAGAUUUUUUGACAUCUUCCACUCUGUCUUCAACUUCUUUUCGGUGUUUCUUAUUUGCCUCACUCAUCAUAUCAGCCCAUUUGAUUUUCUCCUGAAUUGAAUGAAGUAGACUAUCUGAAGAGCCCAACCUGCAAAUUUCAUACACCGAGUACAAACAGCAGAUUUUAUACUAAAAUUAAUCCAUGUAAUGGUGCACAAAUACUCCAAUCAAUGAAGCAAAGUAAAUUUAAAGGAAUGGUGCGAGAGGGAGAGAUCAUUGGUACAGAUUCAUAAUUAAUUCUGCAGUUAUCUUAUCUCAAACAUGAAUUUGAUGACUCGUUAAUCAGGAAUGAAAAAUUAAAUGACCGACUCAACACCACUGAUCAGAUUCAUCUUAUUCUACUUACUCCUUUUGUCCAUUACUCUAAUAACUCUUUGCAAAAAUGAGAAAAUUGUAUUUCCACAAAUUUAGCAUUAUAUACCAGAAAAAUCUCUUUAUGCUCAUUGAAAUCCACAAUUUUGGAUAGUAAUCGAGCAGAAGGUAACGUCUUCUCAUUUAUACCCAACUAUUCGAGUCUUUUCAGUUUGGAUUUUGAUAUUGAUGGUGAUGCAGAAUAAGCCUGAACCAAUGUUGAUCGGAUUAAAUCAAUUUAGUUCAUCGUGUUUAAAUUAAAUUAAAUUAGUUGAACAUAUCUUUUAGUUAGUUAAAUCAGUAUUUUUAGCUAUCCUCUUAUUUUGGUUAUAUCUGUAUUUGUUAAGAUUUUUAUUGUUUAGUUAAUCACUAGAUAAGGUUGUUAUAAUUAAUUAUUUAAGAUAAAAUCGAACUGAAGUUAGUUACGUGUAUCUAAGGCUAAGGAUACUACUACAAAUAAGGUGUAGAGCAUCAUUGUAUGAAGAGGAUGACAUUAAUAAUUAAUAAUAAAUAAUAAAUAAAUAAUAAAUUAAUAAAAUAUGAUUCGAAGCUUUGGUGCACGAGCAAUCUUUUUUCUUCACGAAUGCGUCGCUCUGGAGUUUGCUACAGAAUGAGUCCAGUUCCGAAACGAGUUCGAUUCAAGAGUGAGUCAUAAUUAUCUUUUUUUACUAUUUUUUCCUUCUUGCUUUAUUUUUUUACUUUUGAAUUUUUCUAUUAAAGAUUAAUUUCAUAAUUAUUUUUAAUUACAGAAAUAUCCAAAAAAUCAAAAACUAUUCAAAAAAUAUUUCAAAUUUUUUUAAAAUUAUAAAUCAUAUUUUGGAACCCUCUAAAAUAUAAAACCCUAUAUCCCAUCCUACAUCAGAUGGUGUACUUGAAAUAGGCAAGUGAGAUAUUGAUGGUGUACUUGAAGUAGACAAGUGACAUUGCACAUCUGCUUGGUUAGAAUUAUAUGCUAUUGGUAGAAUAAGCAUGCAAUUGUUGCUAUAUCGAUUUAUUGAGAAUUUUAAAUUAGUUGAUACAAUCAUCUUGAGUUAUUGAAUUAGAAAUAUAAUCAUCUAUAAGAAAUGCUUAUGACGAUGUCACAUGAUUCUAUAUUUAUGGAGUACAAACCCAACAAAAACAUCUUCAUCCUCAAAUUACCUUACAAGAAAGCAAGAGCAGUGCUUAAAUAGCCAAUCAAAUAUCAAAAUUAAACUUACCAGCUUGUCAACGUCUGUAUCAUGUUGCUAAGCUGUUCAGGUCGAGGAUCCCUCCCAGCUGCAAAUUGCACCUGCACAACAUGUAAAAAGUGAAAUAAUUGAAUAAAAAACGAAUAUUUGAGAUUUCUCAGAACAAGAAAAUCAACAUAUAGUUGAAUUGACAAUUCAUUCAGACCUCAAAGCACCGGCGAAGCUGAUCCAGUUUGCCUCUAACAAUACCCUAUAAGUGCAACAAUGAAUGAGUCAUUCAGAAUUUAGGUUACACUUUACAAACCACUAUUCAAAAGUUAAAAAGUAUAGAGGCAUUGAACAAAUGCUUCAUUGGAAAAAUUCCAAACACAGAAAUUUUGGUAGGUGCCACAUAUCUGCUAAACUUGUAGCCAAUCAAGAAGAAAGUAGAAUGAUACAUCAAAUGGUAGGAAAAACAGUGGCAGAAUGACCACCGAUAGAACUUAUUGUGAAUAAAACAAUGUAGUUUCUUGUGGAAUGACAAUCUAGUUUCCUUGUUAGGCCAAAGAACAACCAGAAUUUAAUUUACCCUCACGACAAUGGCUAGCAUUAAUUGUGUAACCUACAUAUGCAUGUAAGGUUAAUACAGAAAGCACUCACUGAAUACAUGCAUUCAUUGAUGAGGAAGUCUUCAAGCUCCCUUACGUUGGAAACAUCUAGUUCUUGCAUGAGUUGAUCAUAAGGCAAUACCUGACAGCAACCAUGAUAAUUAAGUAGAAUCUUCAAUGCAGAUAACAUUAACUCAAAAAUAGCUAACAGACUAUACGAUCAAUUAAACCUGCAAGCUAGCUCUUGGAAAGUGUUUCGAAAGAUCAUUAGUCAUUGGCAUUGCAAGGAAUCAGCUAACAGACUAUACGAUCUAAAAAAUGUGGAGAUAAUGAGGAAAUUAUAUCCCAGAAAAAAAAAAAUUUAAAAUAAACCUUGCAAUAUGCCAUCUAUUAGAAGAUUUUAUUGUUUCCAGAUGAUGAACUUAACAAUUUCCAUUUAAGGCCAUUAUCUAGUUUCGGCAGGAUCUUGGAAAGGGGCAUUUAAAGAGAGUCCUAUCAUUUAGCAUUUAUAGGAAGAGAUUUAACCCAGCAACCAUAUGGUUGCAAGCUUAAGACCUUUACCAUUAGAAAAAUAAAAAAAAAGGAAAAAAAAAAGAUGAAACAUAACCUACAUGCCGUAAAAGAAAUUUCAACUUUCUUGACAGCAUGAUCAUCUAAAAGCUACAGCAACUCAGUGUUACUGAACUUCACCGAAAAUCAAAAUUAUGAUUCCCAACAUGCAUAAACAGUAUAUACAAACAUUCGCCAUAUAAACCAAUACAAUUUUUUCGCAAGCUUUCCCUUAUAGCUUCUACACACUUCAUAGAAGUAAAUUGUAUACUAAAGCAAUGUAUACAAGUAGGUUAUGGUGCCUUUCUGUUAGAUGUUUGUGAAAAUAGGGAGCUAGCCUGACCUUAGCAAAAGAUGAGAAUGUCCUUUAUAACAUAAUGGCGGGCUGAACGCAUAAGCAUACAAGUUAUUUCCAUUAGCUUCUCAACAUGCUUCACUUCUGCCAAGUUUAAGAUUUCAAACAAAAAGCAAAGAGACACUGCUGUAUUUAUUGAGAAAGCAAAGUAUGCAAUGAAACUGCUGUAAUCUUGGAUGCCUUGGCAAAUCCAGAUGCUUAUUUUCACAAUAUAAUGAUGUCAUAUAUGAAAAUAAGUACAUCAUGAAAGAUCAGUGGGCCUAUAAGUGUCUGAUUGGCCCAGAUGUGCCGUGAAGCAUUCAACAAGAAGUGUUCCACCAAGAAUCGCUUCUUAGUGAAGCAUCAACUUGCAGCACAACCUGAAAGCGUGAAAUGAACCUUGUAGGAAUCAGAUGUGGUCACUAGUCAAAAACACACUAAACAUACUAUUAUGCAACUGCUUAACAUUAACUCCCUCUUAUGCAAAACAAAAGUGCAGCCAAACAGCCCUAUAGCACUGAUUCUAGUGGGAUGAAUACAUCAACUCCACGCAAAUCCUAGAUUAAGAACAGAAAUGUCGCUAUGAAGAGGCUGAAACAAUUAAACCUGUAUACCUUUCGAUUUUAUCAAGUCAUAACCUUUUUGUUCUCUUUCUUUUGAGCUAAUUCUUAUGCAAUGCAACCAAAGAACAGGCUCUGAAAGAAAUUCUCUAUAAAUAAAUUGGAUGAAAGUGAAAAUAUAUUUGGUGUGGGUAGUGGUUUUAGUUGUUUUCACCUCGAAGGCGCUAGGGCAACAAGCCACAGAGCUACGAAAUGGAACCACAGAGAUUACUCUUUAGCAAACAAUACAAGGAUGGUAGAUGGAAAAAAAAGGGGGAAAUUACUCGUCACACCUUUAGCUCACAACCAGAAAUAUGUGCCUGCCUAUGAACAGGAAGUCAAACUCAUAUUCUGUUGGUUAUAACUUGAUUAAGCAGCAAUUCCCUUGCAGUAUAUUAGGUAGCUGAGAUAUUUUUGUAUCAUAUCGUUCAUCUAAAACAUCAAAUUUAAUUGAUCAUAUGCAAUUAGGGAAGUAUAAGAAUUAUCAAGAAAGCAGAACAUAUACAAAUAUGACCUAUGGAGAUACAAAGAUACAACUAUUCCAUACAGAAAAAAAAAAAAAGUGCCACAUGUCAUUCUAUGGCAACCAGCCUCUUUAUGUUGUAACUCAUACUAAAGCAGACCCAAGAAUUAAAAGUUAACUACAAAGAGGCAACAAAAAGCACAAUUUGAGUUAAUAUGCAAAUGCAUACCUUGUCUGUCUCAGCCAGAGUCAGCACAGUUAGUUGCUUUAGCUUCCGAGCUUGAUCAGGCAAUAGCGCAGGGAGACAGCCAGCAUUGCCUAUAACAAAAACAUUUCCAUGUAAGGUCUCACGAACAUGCAAGGACUCCUGCUUUUAUUGCUCAUACGGCAUAAGCGACUAUAACAAUAAAUGAUGAGUUCACAGAAAAGGAGGAUCAACAAUUUCUCAUCAGCAAAAGCAGCUAUGUACCAAUGAUAAACCAUUCGAUAAUAAGGUAUUAUGCUGCUGGACUGAGAAGUAAAUUUAAAUACCUCUAUUACAUCAUUAAACUCGAGCAUUCAAAACCAGUAAUAGUGUCAUACAUGUUGCCUAUGCUCGAACAUUCGUAAAGUCAUACCAGCACUAAAUGGCAACAAUCCACACAAGGAAUAGGAAUAUCAUUUUAAGAAACUUUGGAUAGAGUACAUGACAUGUACGACAACAUAUAGCAAGUUGCCAUAUGAGAAACCAUUCUUCAGAUAUUACAGAAAAUCAGAGUUUGCACUCUUUAAGUAUUCUUAGAAAGGUUACAACGGGAGCAACUUUAAUAUAUACAACCACCAAGAUAAUCUCCAACCAGUUUUACGCUCUCCAGAUAGUUUUCAAAAAGGUAAAAUAUAAAGCAGCAGAAUUUUCACCACACCAGAGGUGAUAGUUAGAAAAGUUGAAGAGUAGCAUGCAAGCUAGAAUCUAAUUACACAAACGGGAGAAUGGUACAGAAGAUAAUAACCAAAGUGAUGGCAUAGCAUACUGUAAUUGCUGAAUUGCAGGAAGCCUCAAUCUCAUUUAACUACACAUAAACCACUUCACAAAAAUAUGUUUUUUUCCUAUUAAUGUCGUCCCUUAGUUUACUAAAAGAAUCCGUGCAAUUAUGCAUCAGACAAUUGGUUAAGAUUCAGACGCCAUAAACAGUACUUAGAUUUAUAAUUCUAAAUAUUUAUUAUUAAUAAGGAGUCAAAUUUUCAACAAUUGAGCAAAUACAGUUAAUCUGGAAGUGCAACUAAAAUAUCCUCUACAUGACACAUAACCAAGCAGAUGCAGAGAGUAAAAGCAUAACAAGUGCUUCAAGAAGAGGAAAAGAAUCAUCAUAAUCACUAUUACGGACACGCAACAACAUGUUCGGUAAUAAGCACAUUGAUCAACAGGUGCAAACAGCGAAAUAUAUACACAGCGACACAAACAUGUACACGGAAACUGUUGAAAUAGAUAAUGUAGCAUCUAGGGCUGGGAAAAAGUAAAAAAAAAGAGUACCAAACCAAAAUUCUUACUCUUGUAAUCACUCCAUGUGCCAUAUGCAAACAAUCGAAGCAAAUCAAAAGAAGUGGAAUACUGCGUCCCUUGAAGCUGCAACAUACACAAAAAGUUAGUCGAAAAACAAAUCCAUUUCAACAACCUAGCAAGAUUAGAGCUACAACCUUGGAGAGAUUGGGGACGGAGAGAAUCUCGGAGAAGGCGAAGAGCGAAGGGUGGGACGUGGCCUCAGCGAUUAGGCUAGCGAGCUGCGGCGCUUCGAGAGUCGCCGCGUGCUUCACGAAAUGGUCGAUGAGCUCCGCUUGCUUCCGCUCGAUCUCCAUCGCCCUCCGCCGCUUCAGCCUCGGGCGCUCCUCUCCUCCUCCUUCGUCGUCGUCUUCUUCCUGCUUCUUCUUCUUCUUCUCCUCCUAUAGGGUUCGAUCAGAGCGAUUAGGGUUUCAAAUUUAGCAAGAGAGAAAGAGUUUGUCGGAAGGGGACAAGGGACGCGAGUGCCUGUUCUUUUCCUUGUCUCCUCAUUUCCUUCCUCCUAUUUUAUUUUCUUUGUAGGGUGUGCUUGGGCGGCCCAAUAAAAUCAUGUUUCUAAAGUUGGGCUCUCAUAGGGAAUUGAUGUGUAAGCAAAGCCCUAAGCCCACGCCAAACUUAUUAGUUGGGCCUAAACAAGCGAAUCUGGCCCAAAACCUAUUUCGCAAAUGCUCUUUCUAUUUAGGGUUAAUUAACGGAUAGCAGAUGCAUCCCUGCAAAGUUCAACUUUAAUGCAAAAUUAAUUAACAGUGUAUUAGCCACGGGAUAAUUAAAUCUCUUCUUUUAUGUUUAUAGUGCACGCAUAGUUUUUGAGUUGGUCGAAUUCAAACAAGAAAUCUAUGUAAUACGAUCUAUUUAGUGGUAGGCCUUCUAAAACAAAUAUAAUAAUUACCGAUAACCAUAAGAUGGGCACGUUAUAAGUUUACAUAUCAUUGAAGAGCAAUUUGCCUAAUCUCAACGCAAGCUGCAAUUUUAAACAAUAUUUCAGUAGCUUCUGAUUCGAAUCUAUAGGGAAAAGAUUCGCAGUGUAUAAACUUUAUAACCGUAUAACAAAGUCUACGGAUCUCAGUUAAAAGAUCAAAAAGCCAAGCCCCGGGGGAGGGGGGAAUCAGAUGCCACUUUGAGCUUGGUCCACCAAAGGAGUUAAAUAGGUUACAUUAUUUUACACAUAAUAAUUUUACUUUCUUUUUUAAAAAAUUUUUUACAAGAUGAAAUUACUAGUCUACUCUAAUAAAGGUUGCAAAAAUAAAGGGAGAAAUGCAUGAAACUUAUUUGAGCUGUCGCCCAUUUUGGGUCACUGUCCAGUAAUUCUAUUAUUUAAUUUUUUAAGUUGAUUAAUUUAAAAUACGUAAUAGUUUAUUAUUCUUCUGUCAAAAUAUUAAACGUUUUGUAAUUUUUCUGAUGCAAGCCGUAUGAAUUAUAUGAAAUAUUCUAAAUAAAAUCUAACAUAAAUAGAGGAAGAAUAAAGAGGUGUUUGGUCUAAAUAAUUUUAUUUUCAUUAAACCAUGUAGUAAUUAUUUUUUCUAAUAAAAAUUUUUUAAUUUUAGAGAUUGUGAAACUAGAAGCGGCAAAAAUCUCAGUUGGAAAAGAUGGCACGAAGAAAAGAAGAGAGGACGAGGGUUUGAAAAGAAGGCACGACACACGUGAUAGGUUGGGACGUACGAGACCCAACACAAAAAAAAAAAAAGAAAAAAAGAAAAAAAGAAAAAAAAAAGAGGAUGCCACCUUUUUAGCCGUUUCCAUCUUUGCUUUCCACACAUCCAUGCACCCUUCUUUCUUCUUCAUGCUUUGGUGGCUUUUGAUCUCAUCUUUUCACCUUCUAUAAAGAUUAAAGGAGAGUAAAAUAAACUUAUUUUGGUAGUGCAUUUUUAUGCUUAAAUAAAAAAUAAAGGGGCAAAAAAAAAAAGACAUUUGCUAAAUGGGACCAAGGAAAAAUAUAGUGUAAGCUAGAGAUUAAAAAGCUUUACAAUUGUACUGUAAGGUUUUCUUUAAUUAUAACUUCCUUGUUCUUCCACAAAAGCAAUUUUUCUUGAAUUAUAAUGCAACUUGAAUUCUUAAUAUUGUUGAUGAAGUCCUAAAAUAACGAUCUGACUUUUUGCGAAAGAGUAAGAAGUUUGUGCAAUUGAUUUUAGUUACUGUAAACACAGUAAGCAAUGUUUAUACGUACAUUACUUUUGAGAAUAAUAUAUGAUUGGCNGCUUGACUACAAAUUCACAUUCUUUUUCCUUUUUUUUUUUGACUAAUUUGCAUAAAAAAUUUACUAAUCUUGUAAUUUUAUAAAAGUGGGUCACUAUUUUGAAUUUUACAAAUUUGGAUCGAAUUUUCAACAAACUAAAGGAAAAAAAAAGAUAAGACGACAAGAGUCAGAGAAUAAUGCAAUUUUUCUGAAACAGUGUGUUUUUUUUUAUCAAAAUAGUAUAAUUUUUAUUUUAAAGAGUAUAAUUUUUAUCUCAAAAAGUACAACAUUUAUAUUAAACGGUACAAUUUUUUUAUAAAAUAAUAUAAUUUUAUUUUAAUGGUACAAUAUUUAUCUUCUUUUUUUUUCUGAUUUUUAGAUUUUUCGAUAGCAAACAAUAUAUAAUGUUCUCUCAAAGAGAGAAAAAAAAUUUUCUUUAUUUUUUUACUUUUUAUUCUUUUUUUUUUUCUACCCUUUUGUAUUUUUGUUUGUUCUUUGAUGAUGGGUGCGUCUUUUUCCCUCAUCCGCAUGGGUGACGAGCACCUUCUCGACAAUGACCUCAUCAUCUUUGUUUACUUCGCCUUCACCCGGGCCCCCUCUGAGUUCUCCUUUUUUUUCUCCAGCGUCGGCGAAGGUAGAGGCAGAGGAAGAGGAGGCAGCGCCACCCUUAUUACCGUUGCCGAGGGCUGCCGAUGUCGAUGGAGAAGGAGACAGAGGAAUAGGAGGUGGCCCCGCUCUUGUUACCGCCGCUGUGGCACCCUAACGCUCUAAAAGCUUAAGCUUGCAGAGAACAGUAUUUAUAUAUUUUUAUAUUUCACACCCUCCCUCACGUCUAGAUUUGAGAUUUUUUAUAAGGCGCAUGACGUGAACUUGAAUUAAAUAGAAAAAAAUUCAUAAUUUAGGAGUCUGACGUGACUCGAACUCAGGAUUUUCUAUUCAGAUACUAUGUAAAACAAUCGUUGUACUUUAAAAAUUUAAACGUAUAGAGAAUAAUAUUUAAAUAUUUUUAUAUUUAACAUGCUUAUAUUCUAAUAAAAAAUAAAAAAAAUAAAAAAAUAAAGUAUGGUCGGCGUGAAACACGUACGGUGUCAUGUGCCUCUUCGUUCCUGCAAAACCCACCCAAAUACAACCUAAAACAAGCUUUUCGUUGUUAAUUUACUCCAUCCCAAAAGCCGAGCCACACAACCCACCCGACAAGAAAAAUGUUACCUGGACCAGGUCCACCGUAUCCACUGUAAAACGGUUCAUACUUUCCUCCUUAAAUAUAUAAUAUAUAUAUCUUACAAUCCAAAUAUUAACGUAUAGAUAUUAAAAAAAAAAACUGUAGCUGUAGAAUUCUGGUAAUUAAUUAGUUAGUUCUACAAUUCAAUGUUAUUAAAAAAAUUAUUACUCAAUCUAUUAAAAUAGAUUGUCAACAAUUGUAUUAUUUAGCGCAUCUAGCAUAUUUGUACACUGACCUGUGCUAAACGGCUAAACGCUCUAAGUUAUACCUUCAAUUUUGGGGGCAAUUUUCCAUCGACCAAAUCUCAUCAUAAAAAAUUAAAAAGAGGAUUUAAGUGUUAGAUAGAAUAAACAGUGACAAGAUGUUGUGAACCUCAUGGUGGGUGCAUGCAGCAUGCAGUAGUUUCUCCUUGCAAAGUGAUUUCCAUUUGCUAAACCCCAGAUGAUUUAUUAGGGUCUGAAUGCCAAUCUCUAAAUAUACUCAUUACUAUAUAAAUGAGAUACUAAUAAUUAUGCUUUUUAUUAUAUUUAUUAUUAUUUAUUGUUUUAUUAUUGUAUUGUUGUUGUUUAUUUAUUUUUGGAAAAACUUCAAAUACCAUCAAUAUGGUUUCGUACUUUUUUACUUUAGUAUUCUGUGGUUUAAAGUGCAUAAAUUUUGUACCAUGUGGUUUCAUAUUUCUUUUUUGUCGGCUCCUCUGAUAAUAUUUCGUUAAAUUAUAUAAAAAAAACUUCAGAUACCACAUCUAGAUUUAUCAAAUAUUUCUUUAGUACCAUUUAGUUUUACUUUUGUCACUGAUUUUUUUUCCUCCGUUAAUAUUUUGUUAAAUUAUAUACAAAAAACUUCCGAUAACCUACCUAUGUUUAUCGAAUAUUCACUUUAGUAUCCUUUAAUUUUAACUUUGUCACUGAUUUAACGAAAAAAUGAGUGAAAUAAAUAAUGAAAAGAGAAAAAUAAAAUCACAUGUAUUAAUUUGAUACACUUUAAAUUAUAGAAUAUUAAAAUAAAAAAAUAUGGUAUCACUAGAGCUAACUUGAUAUAUUUUACGUGUGAAACUAAGGGAGGUAUUUGAAGUUUAUUUUUUUUUUUGUUUUGUCUUCCAAGCGGUGUUCACUGUUUCGAGCUAAACCCCACGGGGACCCAUCUCUUUUUAACUUUCCCAACAGUUUGACUGGAUUGGGGAGAAAAGCUAUUCCCCUCACUCACAACGCCGAGUGCCCCAACUCCCCCCUACCCUUCCCAAGGGCACGACACAGAUAAAAUAAAAAAAUAAAAAUUAAGGGAAAAUAAAGAGAGAGACUCAGAGGGGGGUGGGGGAGAGAGAGACUGGGGUUUAAGUGCGUCGGGUUCGUCUCUUUCUCUCAUUCUAAAUAAUCAGUCUCUUUCCCAUCAUUCCCCUCGCUCUCGCUCUCGCUCUCGCUCUCGCUCUAGUCGGUGGAGUAAUAGCAUCUAAGAGGAGAGUGGAAUUUUGGCGCGAUGGGGUGCGCGGCGUCGCGGGUGGAGAACGAGGACACGGUGCGGCGGUGCAAGGAGCGGCGCGGCCUCAUGAAGGAGGCGGUGCAGGCGCGGCACCUCCUCGCCUCCGCCCACUCCGACUACCUCCGCUCCCUCCGCCUCACCGCCUCCUCCCUCACCCGCUUCGCCUCCGGCGAGCCCCUCUCCGUCUCCAACCCACACCCCACGUCCUCCUCCCCCGCCCCGUCCCCCCACCCUCCUCCUCCUCCUGCUCCCUCCCCCCUCCCACCCCUCACCCCGCUCCUCCUCCCCCACGCCCGCGCUACUCCCCGUCCCCGUCCAUGGACAGGUACCAGCUCCCCCACAUCCUCUCCGAGUCGAGCCCCGCCGCCUCCUCCCGGAGACCCGGCGCGUACACUUACCGGGCCAAACCCGUGUUUCCCCCCGCCACCCCCUCCCAGUCGUCGUCCGCCUGGGAUUGGGAGAACUUCUACCCCCCUUCCCCCCCCGACUCCGAGUUCUUCGAGCGCCGCCAGGCCGAGCGCGAAGAGGCCGAGCGCCUCCGCCAACAACAACAGCAGCAGCAGCGGCAGCAGCAGCAACACCAGCACCAUCUCGAAGAGGAGGAGGAGGACGACGAGGAAGAGGACGAGGAGGAGGACGGAGGAGGAGGAGGCGGCGGAGGAGGCGGCGGAGGAGGCGGGAGGGAAGAGAUCCACUGCCCCGAGUGGGGCGACCACUACAACUCCACCACCAGCUCCUCCACCAAAUCCGAGGACGAGGAAGAGGAGGACGAGCGGGGGCGAUCGAGAUCGGAGGGCUUCAUCGGCGCCAGAUCCGAGUUCGGGGGCUCGGAGCGCCGCGCCCCCCCCGCGCCGUCGGAGACCGGAUGGUCGGAAACACCAUCAUCGGCGGCGGCGGCGAAGGCGAAGGCGAAGCCAUUGGCGAGGGAGAGGUCGGAGGCGGAGUCGUCCUUAGCCGGCUACAACGCCUCCGCCUCCGCGUCCGCCUCCGUCAGGGCAAAUGACAUCCAUUCGUAAAUUAACCGCUAAUCUCCGUUUUUUUUUUGUGUGUGGUGGCGGGGCUGGGGUGUGUAACAGAGACGGUGUACCAUUCGAAUAGUGUGCUCAGCGCGCUAUCCUCGACCUGGACGUCGAAGCCGCCGCUGGCGAUAAAGUAUCGGCUCGACACCGGCGCGCUCGAGGAGUCCGGCGGCGGGAAGAGCCACGGCUCCACCUUGGAGCGCCUCCUGGCCUGGGAGAAGAAGCUCUACGAGGAGGUCAAGGUAUUAUCAUUACAUUAUUACCCUCCUCACCUUUCAGUUAUUUACCCAAAUGCCAUCGUUCUCGCGUACGAUCGCAGCUAUUUAUAACGUGGAAAGCGGUAGGACCCUGGUCUUCUGAAUGCCCAAAAUGCCUUUCUCCCUUCACUACUAAAGAACAAUUUCCCAAUUUAGUAGCCGGUUGGAUGGAUCUAACUGUAAAUGCAGCGCAAUUAAAAAUAUAUACGGUUAGAAAUGUCGUAGUUAUAAUUAUAUGCAUUUUAUUUAAUUGGAUGUAGUAAAAAGUGUUGCAGCCAUGAAUAAUUUGUUUGCUUUUAUGUGGUUGAAAAGCGUAUUAUAAAAUUGCAUCAUUUCAUAUAUAGAGCUGUGAGGUUAUUCUCUAUGUAGGAAAAGAAUUUUUUUUUUUAUUUGAAAGAUUAUUACGUAGGGAAGCUUAUCUUUUAUUUAAAGCUAUUCCUCUCCAACUGCUCAAGUUGGAACUAUGGUCAAAUUGGAUGUAGUUCCAAGUGCUGCAUCUGAGUCUUUGAGUCUUCUCGUGCAGUUCCAACUGCAGCAGUUGAAUUCAAAUCCAUCAAAUCAAAAAAUAGAUUUGCAUUUGGAUGCAGUGCAGUUAUAACUGCAUGUAACCAAGCACCCCCUUUCUAUUGGAUUCUGGGAAUAUGAAUUUUAUGGGAUAAUUAUUCUGCUUGAUCUCCAAGUAUUACAUGGUUUUAAUAAAAUGAAGCAUCAUGUUCACAAUCUCUCCACUUGAAGGUGGGCCAUAUUAUAUUAAUAGACUGUUAGGUCAUGUUUCUUCUAGUAUUAUGCUGGCAUAUGAGGACAAUUCCCCUUUCCUGGGUGUCAUUGUCUUACAUAUAAGCUUCAUGCUCUCAGUUAAUUCAAGCGGCUUUUUUCCCAUUCUCAUUGGUUGGGAACAGGGUGGAUUGGUUUCUGUCAUUUAGAUUACAUAAAAUGAUCAUUUUUUUUUUUGGGUAUGGAACUUUAUUAUGAAAUGGUGUGGUUCUUUGCGUGUGAAGCAUUGCAGUGACACGUGACUAUGUGAGUUUGUUGGGUUGUUGGGUAUACUUGAUCUUGGAACUCUUUUAUAGAUAUAGGAUGGCGAACCACCAAUUUCUAAAGAAUCAAUUUGCAGUUGUUGGCCUCUGUGGGCCAUUGGACAUUCUUUUUGAAUGAUGAACUAUAGCCUUAUUGGCUGGAUCAUAUUAUGCUCUUAACCAGUGUUGGUGGGGAAAGCACUUUAUUGUUAGAGGUUGGGUGAAUGGCUGUUUGGUUGGAAGAAUAAAGUACAAUAAUCAAUAACAUAUAGAAAUGCAAAAGUAGAAGCAGAGGAUUCUAUGGUGGUAGAAGUGAGAAGGGAGGUUUAUAUGCAAUUAAAUAACUGUUUCUCAUCACAUUAGAUGGAACUUAUUUUGUUUCUGAAAACCUGUAACUUGAUACAAGUUGUUGGAUCACUAUCACUUAACUGCGUCAAUUUACUGUGUUAGUAGUUCCUUUGAUACAAGUAUAAAGGAAGGAAAUACUUUCUUGACAGGAUAAAUGCCUUCAUGAGUGGAAAGCAUGAGGGACCAGUGCUUGGGUUUCCUUUACAGUUUCCUUUUGCAUAAAGUGAUUACUAGCAAACGUGAACUUCGGUGCAUGAUUUUUCUGUACAGUUGGAGUCCUAGUUAUACUUUGCCUUGUUUCAGCAGACCAAUGGGCACUAUCCUGGGUCUUCUGCCUAGUGAACUAUUUCAUGAUAAUUGAUAAUUCUCUUUCUAUAAGAUUGCUAGAUGACCAUUUGGUUUAUCAAGAGGGGUAACUUACAAAGGUUCUUGUAGAAUAGAAAAGUUAUUACAAAGCUACUGGAUAACAGUUUGCAUGCUUACUUUAUUCUUGUGGUCCUAUGUGAAGAGCAGUGCCAAGAACUUGGACAUUGAAGCAAAAUGGGGAUAUAGAGCACAGUGGUAAUCCAGCUCCUCUCUCUAUUUUUGCAUGAAAUCACGAAAGUUAAGUAAAUUGGAACAAACAGAAGAACAAAGUUCUUAGAACUUAAAUAUGUUUGAAAUUCUACUUUAUAUUACCUUGUGUAAUAUGUUGCUGCUAUAUACCAAUAUGCUGUUGUGAAGUAUAUUUGCUCUGUCUUGUGCUCAUUUCUGCAUAAUUGGAUAUAUGUCUGUACUAGCUUUUUAAGAUUUCAGCUGGAUGGAUUAUCUCUGUUGUGCAAAUCGUGCUAAGGUCCAUAUUAGCAAUGUUUUUAGGUUUGGUGGAAAGAUAAGAAAAUGUGAAUGGAUCUGUGAAUGCAGGCUAGAGAGGGGGUAAAGAUUGAGCAUGAGAAGAAGCUGUCGACACUGCAAAGCCAAGAAUAUAGAGGAAAAGAGGAUGCAAAACUCGACAAGACCAAAGCCUCCAUAAAGAAGCUCCAAUCAUUGAUCAUUGUCACUUCUCAGGCUGUCACUACUACUUCUUCUGCCAUUACUAAAGUCCGAGAUGAUGAGCUUGCACCACAGCUUGUUGAGCUCUGUUACGGGUAUGACAUUUUACUCGUCCAUUUCUGCUACUUUUACUCUUCAUUAUUAUGUUGUCAAAAGAAAAAAAAAAAGAGUAACUUUCAUUUGAGUCAGCUAAAAUUUCAUAUGCACAAUUUCACUUAUAACAAUUUAGUCCACGAGGCUUAUUUGGCAUGGCUAUUUAGACAUUCUGUUAGUUUCUUUUCUAAAAAUAUGUUGCAUCAACAACAUCACGAGGCUUUUCUUAUUUAAACCUGAAGCUCCGAGGUCAAAAUCGAAACUGAGAUCAAGCUUUAGGAACAAAACUAGAAUCAAUGUCAUGCUUCGAAAUUGGGGGCCUGAUUUCUAGGAAUAAAUUGUUACAAUUAAAACUCUGAUGAUUGAAUUGAAACAGGAGUCAAACUUCAGGGCUAAACAUGUUAUUGACCCACCCUAAAAGUAAAUGCAGUCAUAUGCCUCUUAGACCUCCGAUGAAAUCUGGAUCGUGCUUUAAUACCUGAACACACAACAGGCUUCUAAAAAUGUGGAGAUCAAUGAACCAAUUCCAUGAGGUCCAGAACAACAUUGUCCAGCAGGUCUGCGGCCUGGUGAACCGCCCUGUUGGCGAGCCGACCUCCGACCUCCACCGCCUGGCCACCCGUGAUUUAGAGGCUGCUGUCUCAGCCUGGCACUCGAGCUUCAACCGCGUAGUCAAAUACCAACGCGACUAUAUCCGCUCCCUCUACGGCUGGCUCAAGCUCACCCUCUUCCAAGUCAGCAGCGACAACCCGCAAAAAGACCAUUCUUCUCCUAUCGCCAUCGAGCUCACUGCCUUCUGUGACGAGUGGAAGCAAGCCUUAGACCGGCUUCCUGACACCGUGGCUUCUGAAGCCAUAAAGAGCUUCAUGAACAUCAUCCAUGUCAUCUACACAAAACAAGCAGAGGAGCUUAAGAUCAAGAAACGAGCGGAAACUUAUUCGAAAGAGCUCGAGAAGAAAACAAAUGCGUUAAGGGCCAUCGAGAAGAAGUACUACCAAUCUUAUUCAACAGUCGGUAUCAGGAUUCCCGGCAGCGGGCGGGACGACAAUGGGCAAGUGUUUGACGCCCGUGACCCCUUAGCAGAGAAGAAGUCGGAGAUUGCCUUAUGCAGGAGAAAGGUGGAGGAUGAGAUGAACCGGCACGCGAAGGCUGUGGAAGUGACGAGGUCGAUGACGCUGAACAACAUACAGACGGGCUUGCCGGGCGUAUUUCAGGCGAUGACCGGGUUCUCAGGCUUGUUUGUGGAGGCCCUGGCGGCGGUUUGCCGAAGAGCAGGAUCGGUGCAGUAGAGAUAUUAUUUACUUUGGCUGUUGAAUCAUCUAUGUAUUAUUACGAGGAAGUUAAGAAUAUAAAUUUUUUAAAUAUAGAUAUAAGCAAGUUAAGCAGGAAGAAUUGUUCCCCCCCGGGGGUAUUUGGGGUGUGAAGGGGAGAUGCAUGUAGGUAUUAGUUUUCUUGUUAUUAUAAGAUUAUUUUUGCCCUUUCUGGAAUGUGGGAGGGGGAUGUCUAUGAUGUCUAUGUACAGGCAUAAAGGGUUGGUUGGUUUUGUGCUGUAAUAAUAAAAACUACUUUCACCUUGCCCGUUACCGUAUCUUUUCCUUUUGACCUUCUCACGGUACACUUGUACUAGCUUAAGAAUGCUUGCUUGUGUGGCAUCUCUCUCUCUCUCUCUCUCUCUCUCUCUCUAUUAUGUUUAGGGACAAGGUGAAUGAAUUAAUAGAUCUACCACAUGGGAAAUGAGUAAAUUGCACCGAGGGUCCUUCUCAGGUCUCUACCUUCUUUUUUUUUUCUUUUUUUUUUUUUGGUUCUAUUAUUAUAAUUGGGUCCCCGUUUGCCUUUUUUAUGUGUUAUCUGUUCAUGGAAUUAAAGAAAAGAAGGAAUCCAAGGAUCAGAUUGCUAACUAUUGGUCGGUGGGUCUGGNCAUUUAUAAUAUAAAGGUUGAUAAAAAUAAUUUUUCAUUCAUUAAACUAUAUGAGAUAGCAGAGUUUAAAUGGAGAAUAAUAUAAUACAAUGUUCAAACUAAAUAUUUUUAUACUUCUACGCAUAAUAUAAAAUAUAUAAUUGUUUAUUACUGCAUUUACUAUAAAAAGUACCUUUUUUAAAGAGUAAUACUUCUACGCUCUUCUAAACUCUCUCUUUUAGUGCCGCCAUCCAUUCUUAUAAAAAGUAGUUAUUUUUUAAAUAAAGUCAAGAUUUUAUAAAAAUGCCUUAUUUUUUUCUGAAAAAAUCACAAUUUUUUUUUGACAAAAAAGCUAUUUUAUGUGAUUGUUUUUAUAAUUUCUAUUUUUCAGAAAAAAAUAAGGCAUUUUUAUAAAAUCUUGACUUUAUUUAAAAAAUAACUACUUUUUAUAAGAAUGGAUGGCGGCACUAAAAGAGAGAGUUUAGAAGAGCGUAGAAGUAUUACUCUUUAAAAAAGGUACUUUUUAUAGUAAAUGCAGUAAUAAACAAUUAUAUAUUUUAUAUUAUGCGUAGAAGUAUAAAAAUAUUUAGUUUGAACAUUGUAUUAUAUUAUUCUCCAUUUAAACUCUGCUAUCUCAUAUAGUUUAAUGAAUGAAAAAUUAUUUUUAUCAACCUUUAUAUUAUAAAUGUUUUUAAUUGAUUCACACAACUAUACUUUUUAAAAACCACGUGAGCUUGCUAAUAUAUCAGGAAAAUACAUGAUGAUAACAUUAAGAUAACAAAUUAAUUAUUUAUUAUUAUUAUUAUAUGCACACAGUUCAAUAUGCCGUGAUAUGUACACAUCAGCGUUCCACUGUAGAGAAUUUCGGUGGGCUUUGGGUGCAUGAACAGUUCGCUAUUUAAAACUACGGAUGACUGACGUACUGCCCACAGCGAGCGGUGCCUCCUGCAGUUUUUCUGGCGCCAUCGGACAAUUUCCGUUGCCUACUUUUCGGUGCUGUGAUGGCUGCCGUGCAAUCCAUCAUCCACAUAAAAAAUAUUCUUGUGAGGAUAUUAAAGCACGAUUAGUCGAUUAUAUCGUUUUUCUAUAAUUUAAUCAUAACUUUGGUGCAUAUAUAUAUAUAUAUAUAUAUAUAUAUAUAUAUAUAUAUAUAUAUAUAUAUAUAUAUAAACAAAACAAAAUUUAAACUUAUUCUGCUACUACAUUGAAGGUUACAGGGCCUGCUCAUCAAACAAAAAGAGAAACAACAAAAAGAUGUAAAUAAACUGCGAUUUUUUAUCCAUAAUUCUUUCUCAUUAAAGAGUGAGAUAUGAGCGCGCAAAUCAAUUUAAAAAAAAAUUGCCCAAUUAAUAUUAGUGUAAAUACUUCCGAUCACACGCAAGGUGCAUAUCAAGUGAAUUAUAGCAUGCAACGGCAGAAAAUAUAAUGCAAUAUGAUAAGAUAUGGGAAUUUAGUCUACUAAAUAAUAGAUAUGAAAAUUGAAUCUAUAAACUCAUGGAACUAAUUAAGAUUUAUGACUUCUGAUACCGUACGAAUAAUCCAAAUUAUUAAUCUAAUAGGACACAAAAAAAUUCACAAAGUGUACACCCAAUAUGCUGCACAUGAAAUUGCACAAACAUACCUACCUGCCAUUGAUUCCUCUAUCAAGUCCUUAGCUGUGUAAUUGGAUAGCAUUGGAUUUAUCUGCAACUGGGCCCAAAGUAUUACUCAUCACACUCUCCAGGUUGUUAUAUAGGAACCAUUCUUUUCUUCUCUCUCUACCCUUUUUAAUCUCUCUCUUUUUUUUAAAAUUUUUUUUACUUUUUCUGAAAGAAGGUUGUUUUAUAAAGAGAGUAACUUGAUGGUGUUUGACAGGCAGGCUACUACAGAGUGAUGUGUCCACAGAAAGUGACAUGGCCCCUAUUUAUUGUCACAGAAUUCAACAGAUGUGGGUGACAUGCACAUUAAUUUAUCAUCAUUCCAAGAACAAGAUGAUGAGGUAUAUAAAAAUGCAUAGAAAAUUUUGGUAGGCAACAAAGUGAAGGAUGAAGAAAAGGACAUAGUUCAUGGGUGGAAGCAAUAAAGGAACUUGGGUGCCACAGCUGUUGGAGGUGGUAGAUCAUCUUUAUCCAGAAACAUACUGUAUGGUGGUAUGAAAUACCUGAUUAUUUUAAAUAAUUAAGUCAGUAGAGAAUAAUGUUUAAAUAGUUGAGACUCAAUAUUCCAUGUUGCAGGUACGUUUCUAUCAAGAAGAAAAUUAAAUCUAACUAGUAGUCUCAUACUCGGAACAUCCAACUCUAACAUCGUGUGCAAAGAUAGUAGUGAGGGCCAUUGGCAUCUGGUCUCCGUUAAUUUGAGGGGUCCUUUAUUCUCUUUCUUUUAUUAUUUGAGAAAAAUCAGUGAUCGAACACGUCCAAAUAUCCUUCCAUGGUGGUGAGAGAAUCUAAGAGGAAAGGUGGUCUCCUAUUUAUACUUCUUUUCUCAAGUGGAUGCACUAAUAAUAGGUCCACCCAUGCAUGUAUAUAAAGAAGAUUAUAAAUGUUCUUUGAAAGGAGGGAGGGGGAAAAAAGAAGGGCUUAAAAGUGUAGUAGUAGACAUUGGAAAGGGCAAGGGCAUUUUGUUGGUAUGGCUUUUGUUUUGUCUUUGAAGUUUUGGAACUUAGCUAGGGAAAAAGGAAUAAGGAGGAGUAAAGUUAGUACUCAUGAUACAGCAAGUUUGGAUUGUAAUGGAACAUUUUAGAUGUCCCAAAACUCUUCCUAUAUAUCUAUAUAUAUAUAUAUAUAUAUAUAUAUAUAUAUAUAUAGAGAGAGAGAGAGAGAGAGAGAGAGAGAGAGAGACUACCAUACAUACUAUGCAUAGCAUCAAGUGUUUUGUUCUAUCAAGUUUUUCACCGAUAGAUCUAUCUUUUUAACAAUUUUUCUAUCUGUUAGAUCAUACUAUUCAAUCAACCACCCACUCAAUUAUAGGGAAUCACCAUCAUUUUAACUGCACAUUCCUUUAACAAGGGCCAAAAACCUAAUAACGUCAACGACUUUAUAUUAUUAAUAGUAUAGUAGUCUAGUUCUAAAAUUGAGCUAGAAUACUUUUAGAAGCACCACCCUCUUGGUGCUUCUAGAUUUUCUAGCCCUUGGAUUUACUCCUUGAUUACUAAUAGCCCUUAGAUCAAACACUAUUCCACCUACCACCACCUACCAUCAUCAUCCCAACCAUACAUUUCUCCAUCCAAGGGUUAAAAACUCAAGAGUACCAACCCCUUGGUGCUUUUGAGAGUAUUCUAGCUCAACUCCCUAGUUCUACAUAUAUAUAUAUCUAUAGAACUAGGCUAAUAUACUAUUAAUAGUACCAAGUCAUUGGUGCUACCAAAUUUUUGGCCAUUAGAUUAAGAGAUGUGCGGUUAGGAUGAUGUGGGCCCCCUAGGGUUGAGUGGGUGGUUGGUUGAAUAGUAUGAUCUAACGGGUGAAAAUGAUCAAAAGAGUAAAUCUAACGGCGAAAAAUUUGGUAGCACCAAAUGCUUCGUGCUAUUAAUAGCAUAGUAGCCGGACUCUCUCUCUCUCUCUCUCUCUCUAUAUAUAUAUAUAUAUAUAUUAGCAACCCAUAAGUACAUAUAAUCUGUAGCCCACUAACGGAAUCUUAAAGCAAUGUGGGUAGUGGAUUAGAUUGCGCCACAGUGGAGUGGGCCUUCUCAUAUAAUGUUCGUCGAAGUUUGGGCUACUUACAUAUGAAACAGAGUAACAGGCCACGAGCGACGCUGGGAAAAGCCCGUUAUAAAUUUAAGAACGACAACAAAGCCCACAGCCCAUGAACAAGCCCAGUAACCGACCUCAGCGGCCCGUGAACGCGGGGAGCCUCAUCCGAAGCGCACAAGCCUCCUCCUCUGCCACCCUCGGCAUGCACCUCGCACGUAUCGCCAAAUCGACCCACUCCACACGCGUCGCCCCUUCAGCCCCUGCAUGGCAACCCCCUCGGCACGUGCCUCUCCACGCGUCCAACCCCUUCCCCACUAUAUAUGUUACCUCCCCCGCUCCUCACUCCCCCUACUCCUACAUUACACCACCAAAUUAUUUGUUGUACGAACCGUAUAAGCUAAGCGAGCACAAACCAUAACCGUAUAUGGCGGAUUACCAACGUGAGCAAAGAGGAGGGGGGUUCAUGCAGGGGCAGCAGUCGCAGCAGCAGCAGCAGCAGCAGCAGCAGCAGCAGCAGCAGCAGCAGCAGCAGCAGCAGCAGCAGCAGCAGCAGCAGCAGCAGCAGCAGCAGCAGCAGCAGCAGCAGCAGCAGCAGCAGCAGCAGCAGCAGCAGCAGCAGCAGCAGCAGCAGCAGCAGCAGCAGCAGCAGCAGCAGCAGCAGCAGCAGCAGCAGCAGCAGCAGCAGCAGCAGCAGCAGCAGCAGCAGCAGCAGCAGCAGCAGCAGCAGCAGCAGCAGCAGCAGCAGCAGCAGCAGCAGCAGCAGCAGCAGCAGCAGCAGCAGCAGCAGCAGCAGCAGCAGCAGCAGCAGCAGCAGCAGCAGCAGCAGCAGCAGCAGCAGCAGCAGCAGCAGCAGCAGCAGCAGCAGCAGCAGCAGCAGCAGCAGCCGAUGAUGAUGACGGCGGUGAAGGCGGCGACGGCGGCGACGGCGGGGGGUUCGAUGCUGGUGCUGUCGGGGCUGACGCUGGCGGGGACGGUGAUCGCGCUGACGGUGGCGACGCCGCUGCUGGUGAUAUUCAGCCCCGUGCUGGUGCCGGCGACGAUCGCAGUGUCGCUGCUGGCGGCGGGGUUCGUGACGUCGGGGGGGCUGGGCUUGGCGGCGCUGUCGGUGCUGUCGUGGAUGUACAAGUACCUGACCGGGAAACACCCCCCGGGGGCCGACCAGCUCGAACACGCCAAGGCCAGGCUCGCCUCCAAGGCCCGCGACAUCAAGGAAUCGGCGCAGCACCGGAUCGACCAAGCCCAGGGAUCUUAAUCGGAUUGAGCAACACAGAAUCGUCAAUAACCACCCAAAUUAAGAAAGAACAAAUCGGACGUCGCUCCGUGGCGGUGGACCGCAGAUGAUCAGUACUCUCCUCCCUCCGUCUGUGUUUCGAGUUUCCGUCGUUGGUUCCUGCGACUGUUUUGUUUUGUUUUGUUUUGUUUUGUUUUGUUUUUUUUAAAUAAUUAUGAGUGUUGCUUCUUGUCGUUGUUGCUGUUGUUGAUCUUCUGAUGACUGAUGUCUUCGUCUUAGGAGGUCGUUGAUGUGAAGUAGUAGUGUUUGGUAUGGUAUGUAAGUUGCUUAAUUAGGAUAUAUCUAUAUAUAUAUAUAUAUGUAUGGCGGGGUCAAUAAACUGUUAACUCAAAAUGGUUGUUUGCUUUGCAUGCAUGCAUGCAUAUAUUGGGUCUGAAUCGUAGCAGUAACUCGAUCCCAACACUGAAUAACGGUCUAGCUAGCUCCGUUUCCCAUAAAGCUCAUUAUGUAUUUGGCUCUUGUAGUAGUAUAUUUUUGCUGAGCGUGACUAUCAAAUGAAACCCACCUAAUUAGUAACAGCUAGCCACUUUCCUCGAGCUUUUUGGCUUUGAAAUUUGUAUUUAUUAAUAUAUCGCUGGUGGGAGUUGACAAAGUUAAUUCUCGAGAAACCAACGAGAAACCAACCAAACGAAAGAAAGGGGCUAUGAUCAGCUACCCGUUAAUUAUUUUCUUCUUUCUGUUUUGUGAAGGUUGGGCUUAACAUGCUGUUAAUUAAUACUCGAUCAAUAAAGAUGACGAGUUUCAAAGCUACGUACAGGUAGAGAAUGGAGAGAGACGCCUUAUGGCGAGAUUUUUGUCCAGCGUGCACCGUGGAAGUGUCAGCCGCAGUCGUUACUCGAUCUCCACGUGGAUGGGAAUGCGGGAUGGUGAGAGCAGCAGCGCGGCUGCAUGCGAGCGACGUGUACGUGACCGCGCUACCGCAUGCAUCUUGGCGUUAUGCACUAAAGCGUUUUGGUAGAUCAAUGUGGAAUGGCCAACAUCGUCCAACAAUUAGCUUGCCAUUACAACAUUACCAAUAGGACUCUUCUGUUUUUUUUUUUUUCCUCUCUCUUUAGAGUGAAGAUAUAUAGCAUGCUAUGAUUUAUUCGAUGAACUAAGUUAUAGGACGAGGCUAUAGAAUAAAGCAAUCAGAUUAAGAAACGAAAUUAAAAAAAAGAGAGAAAAAAAACUGGGCACACUAUACCAUCCGCUGGUUCCUACAAAAUCCUAUUUUACCAAAGCCUAUCUAAAGGUGAGCUUUUUAUUAUUAUUAUUAUUAUUUUUUCCCGCUAGCCUAUCUGAAGGUGAGCUUUUUAUUCUGAAAAUUUUUUUAUUCCGCUCCUACUGAAAUAUUUUUUAUUCCGCUCCAAUCAGACAACCAGGAAGUAGCAAUAGUCGUCAACUCAAUAGUCAUCAACUCCCUUCCGCCUAAAGUAGCCCACUUUUUGUGUUUUUUUAAUACAUAAAAAAAAACAUCGAGCCCUGCAAUGUGAGCCUCUUAAGGUUGCGUUUGGUUGAGGUAUAAGUAAGAAUUACUUGUUCCAAAAGAUAGGUACAAGUUCAGAUAUAAGUAAGAACUAGACCAAUUUUAUGUUUGGAUGAAAAUUGAGUUGUUCCUAAGAAUAAGGUAAAUAGCGUUUGGAUGGUUAAAUUGGAACAAGAGAUAUAAAAGUUAUAAUUUGAAAUUAAAAUUAUAUUAUCUAAUUAAUUAACAUCAAAAUAUUACUUAAAAAUAAAUAAUAAAUAAAUUAUUAAUAAAUAAUUAUAAAUAAUAAUAAUAAUUAAUUAUUAAUUAUUAAUUAUUAAUUAUUAUCAUUAAUUAAUUAUUAUUAAUUAUUUAUAAUUAUUUAUAAGUAAUAAAUUAAUUAAUUAUUAAUAAAUUAUUAAUAAUUAUUACUUAAUUAAUUAAUUAUUAAUAAUUAUUAAUAAUUAUUUAUAAGUAAUAAAUUAAUUAAAAAUAAUUAUCUAAUUAUUAAUAAUUAAUUAUAAAUCAUUAUUAAUAAAUAAUAAUUAUUAUUUAAUUAUUAAUUAUUAAUAAUAAAUUACUAAUAAUAUCGAUUAUCUAAUUAAUAAGAAUAAUUAUUUUAUUUUAUUAUUAAUUAAUAAUUAAAUAAUAAUAUUAAUAAUUAAUUAUAAGUAAUAAAUUAAUUAAUAAUAAUUAUCUAAUUAUUAAUAAUUAAUUAUAAAUAAUAAAUUAAUAAUAAUAUCGAUUAUCUAUUUCUUAAGAAUAAUAAUUAUUAAUAAUUAUUAUUUAAUUAAUAAAUAUUAAUAAAUAAUAAUUAUUAAAUUAAUAAUUAUUAUUAUCUAAUUAUAAAUAAUUAAUUAUAAUUAAUUAAUUAAUUAUUUAUUUUAUUAUUUAAGCAAUAGAUAAUAAUUCAAAUAUAUUAAUUAGAUUAAUUAAUAAUUUACUAUCAUUAAAAUUUAAAUUUAGAUUUAAUUAACCUUGUUCUCAUUCGGGAACAAGCUUGUUCCAGAAAAAAGGUAGAACAGUAGUUCCAGCCAGUUUCAGUCUUUUACCAGCUAGUUCCAAAAAUUCGAAAACUAUUGUUCUCGGGUAUCAAACAUUGCGUUUGGUAACAAAGGGGGAACAAGGGCUUAUUCUCCCCCUUGUUCUCGAACCAAACGUUACCUAAAAGUUUUAAACCCGGCAUCGAAUUUGAUUAUAUCCGAUUAUGGGAGAAGAGGAUUGCGAUCAAUCGAGACAUAUGAAUAGAAUAGCUGAUAAUCCAAACAUACAACGUACGAGAUUUGCUAUGAAUCUUGUUUCAAUCUCAAUCUUUUAAAAUUCGAUCAUUGUAGUCACCAGGAGUAUUCGGCAGAUCAGAUUUGAUAAUCUUAACAUCUGUUAACCUACUUGUACGACCAAGCAACUACAUCUUGAUUUCCACAAAAAGAUGUAACAGCCACAAGCGACUGGCACAAAUAUCUGCAGAAAAUAAUAAAAAAAAGGUAAACCGGAACCUCCAUCCACAUUCGAUUCCAUCACAAGAAGUCAUUUUUCUGACAUACAGAUCAGAAAAGAACUGCAAGCAUAUACAAUCACAUGUUUUCCAAAGCAAGAGCCGCAACCAAGAACUCGAGAAAGUAUGAAGAGAUUUCGAUGAGACGGAAGUUGGGUCAAUUUUGUGUGUAUCGGUUCAUCACUGCUCUUUCUUUGAGAGCACCAUGACGUUGAAGUUAAUCGAGUCGGGAUUUUUCUCGAUCAUGGCUUUUAUGACCUUUGCAGCAUCCUGCAUCAAGUAAAUGACAAAUACAAUAAGAUUUGGACUACGAUUAAUAUCUUAGACAACUUACGAAUAAAGUUGUAUACCGGUAAUGCUAUUGAUAAACAGUAUUCUUGACAAGCAAAAGUGGAGGAAAUAUAUAUUAACAUGCCAAUAGAGAGAGAUGGAAGGCCCAUCACAAAUUAGACAGGAUCACGUUUUCUAUAAAUUCGAUCAUAAUCUAAAAAUUCAAAACAAACAGAGGAAAACACUUUUACACGAGCUCAAAGGGCAUCCUUGAGAUUGUCAAAUAUGCAUAUGCUAGUCCUUGUCUCAAAGAUUUUUUUUUUUUUUUUUUUUUUUUUUUUUUUUUGAGAAAAACCUUGUCUCAAAGUUCAAAUAAAACUUCUGCUUAUUCAAGGUACAGCUUCAUGAAAUUAUAAGUGUAUGGUACAUAAUGAGCAAGGCUAGAUUACCUGCAAUAAGGUACCAGGUGACGAAGGACCAUGUGAUAUUGGUUGAUAUUUUUCUCCAUCAAGCUCAUAAAGUUCUCCUACAACAUCCCCAAAAAAAAAAAAAAAAAAAAGCCCAUCAACAUUUUGUUCCUUUUAUGUUCAGGUAUCAAGUGUUCUACACGUAGAUGCAAAUGGUCAAGCAUGUGAAUGGAGAGAUCAAACAUUCUUACCAUCAACACAUGUGAAGCAAAUAUAAUGUUCAUUGACUUCCGGUUUGGCCUGGAGGUUAUUUAAAAAAAAAAAAAAAUUGUCAGAGGACAUGUCAAGAGGAGAAAAAGAAAAAAGGAAGGUACUGAUGACCAAAUGACAAUAAAUUGGUAUUUAUAGACACGUCGCAGUAGUGGAAUUGCCCACUCUACAUAUCAUUUCAUACAAGAUGUUCAUGCUUGAUCCUUGGGAGUAAAGGCUAAGUUAGAACUUUAGAGUUAAAGCCAGAUUACUGGCCAAAUUCAAAAUUUGUUUGGGUAAAGGAUAAAUACAUAAAAAUGUAUUGCAUUCUUGCCACAGAGAACCAAUCAGUUUUACGCGAAAACCCAAAUCAAUCAAUAAGAAUAAAAGAUUUGAUCCUUUCCGAAUGAACAUAUAUAAAUACACAACAAUGUGCAGUAAAACUACAUUGAACUGGAAGUAAUAGUACCAACUCAGGCCCUUAGCAUCUUUUGAUUAAUCCUAAUCACAGGUUGAAACGUUUUGCCGCUACCCGACACAGACCACUCUACAUACCACCACCAAGUGAUUGGACUACAGAGUGAUCGGAAAGAAAUCUUUCACAAUAAAUAACAAGUUUUUCCAAUAACAACAUGUCAGAGGACCCAUCUCACGAAUUUGGUUAGUGACUCAAGUAAAUUGUCUGGCCUACCAUUGCAAUUAGUAAAAACCAACAGUCAUUAGCGAAGCUCAUCUGAUGCUAUGAAACAAUCAGUAGAAUUAAUAACAUCUAGCAAAUAAAUAAUUUGAUGAUAUAUCAAUUUGUCACAUAUAAAAGAAGGUAGCAGAUUAUGACCUCUGUAUCCCCUCCAGUAGCUGCAACGGAGUGUGCAUCCUCCAUUUCUCUGUCAUUUUCGAGAAAAGCAGCACGCUGAAAAGGACAAGCAUGACACAUAAGAAUUUACAUAAUGCUGAAUCUCUCAUCUCCAUAGAAUUCUCAGUGAUUAAGAGAAACCAAAAAAGCUAUCAAGAAACAGAUACAUAUCAACCUCAAAAGGAUCCAUUUUAGCUGUUGCUUUAUAAAAUCUAUCCAGGUAUGAUCCCUCCACUGCAAAGACAAGAAUAGUCAAAUAGUAUAGCUCUCUCAAUUUAAGGGAACCAUAAAUACGUAAUGCAAUACAAGAAGUGAGCAAGCACCCAGAUAGCAAAGGAGAAACAGAAUAGCUCGAAAGAUAACACUGAAGAACAUUCUAUGUCUUAUGACGGUAAUAGUUCUCCAAACUACAUGUUAGCAUGAGAAAAGAUGGGUGGAAUAAUGACCUUAUUCUUGCAGAUGAAGCAUAUUCGAGCUUCUUACUUUCCAACAUCUAUAAAAGCUCAUUAGGAGGAACCAAAUUGGAUUUACCAAAAACGAAUCGCUGGUUGUUUGAUAAGGACAAAGGCAUGCUAAAACGGCAGCAGCCGUAACAUGUUCUUCAUUAUGAUCAGGGUAUCAUGGCAAACAUGCGCUAAACUAGCCAUCCUAAUGACGGAUAUAUCAAAGUUCAUAAACACAAGUUCCAAGAAUCAUGAUGAUAGUUGCCCUUCGUAAAUACGAAAGUACCUAGCUUGAUGUCUGAAGUAGCAUUUCCUAUAGAAUGAAGUACCCCAAUUGUUCCACAAGCAUUAUCCACUGUUUGUUUAAGAAAGUACACCUUCCCGUUUAUUUCCUGCGCCGUAGAAAAAUAGAAUUAGCUCAACGUGAGCUAACAACCAUAUUAAUAGACCUGAAUUGUUAAACCAGAGGCUUCCGCAGUUUUAAAGUUCGUUAGCUUCUUGUAUCUCUUGCAUUGUAUAAUUCCGUAAUAAAUUUCUAGCAUUAUAGACAACGUACUAAUGAUUCACUACUAACUAACAUACAUGACUACAAAUGUAAAUCGAGCGCCUUCUUUUUGUAUAUUUUCAAUUAUCUUUACCUGAAUUUUCAACUUAUGAAAAUCGAUUCUAUUAAAUGUCUACGAUGAAUGAAUAAUUAAACAUCAAAAAAUAAAUAAAUAAAUGCAAACGUGUAUCACCUUCGUUUCACCCUUGGACCACAGUUCUCUAUCAGCUUGCCUCUCAGCUUCAAUCUGAGCCGAAAUUUUAAAAGAUAAGCCAUUCAAAAUCUCCAAAAGAUCAACAAGCAUAAAUAUUAAAUCAAAAUCAUUACCUCCGAAGAGUAGGGGAAAAGGAACAACACUGCGAGAAUCGGUUUAGGCACCAUCUCCAAGAGCUCCUCAUCCAAUCCGUACACAUCGUUGAACUCCGCUUCAUCCUCGGGAACUCCCAAUCCCCAAAUAAACUGCAUCCUCGAAUCGAAAAACCAAAAACAAAAAUCUCAAAAUUCAACAGUAAAUCCAAACCCUAAUUCGGAAAGCGAUUUAAAAAAUGAAUCGAAAUAAGGAGAAAUCGAACCUGAUUCAUGACAUCGGGGUUGGCUUCGAGAGGAAGCCACCGCUUGGUGGAGGGCGACGACGACAUCGGAGGAGGAGAAGAGCGUGAAAUGAGAGAGAGAGUCGUAAAAGAGUCGUGAGGUGAAAAUUGAUGCGCCAAAAUACACGCAGGGAGGACUUGGAAUCUGGGAGACACUCCAAUCCUUUACGGUUGGAUCACGAUCGAACGGUCAGAAGAGCACCGCCUCUACACUCUUCAGCCCCUCGUGUUUCUUCUCCUUUUUUUUUAUAAAUGGAAAUUAAUAUGAGGCCAAAUUAUCAUACGAGGAUGGUACGGUACCGUCCAAACCUUUUUUUUUAAUAUUUUUUUAACCCAAGGAGAUUUUGUCACAGUAUUUUUUGGAGAUUUAGCAUCAAUAAUCUUGCAGCUUUAGCCCAUUUUUAUUGUUUUACGUUAGCUAUUACCCUUCCAAAUCUUAAAUUUGCCUUCAUAGAUUUAGGGGAAAAAAAAAAGGAAGAAGAAAACAUACCCUUGAUAAGCUUCCCAAACUUGCACAAAAUUAUCAACACAAAUAGAAAAUUACCAAAAAAAAAAAAAACAAACUUGUCUGAUUUAAGUGAUGUUUGGUUGGAAAUUAAAACUAAUUAAGGAUGUGUGGCAAUCACAGUUACAUUAAAUUUUUAAUUAUGAUAUAGAACCCCCAAUAACACGCUUCAAGAUCAAAGGAAUAACCAUCUUAUCGACAAAUUUGGCUUAUAAACAUUUCAUAUGUUCAAUGCAUAAUGUUUUAUUUUGUGGAUUUGAAAGAAGAUGGAGAUCGUGUGCGUAUCUUUAGAAGAGAAAAUUGGGCCCAAGGAUCCUCUUGAUGAUAUUCUACUCUUCAUUUUCAAUUUAUUAAUAAUAGCAUGCCCCACUUUGGUGGUUGGUAUUCAAGGUCCCAAGUUCAAAUGCUAGUUAAUUCAUAUUUUCAGCUAAAUUUAUUUCUAAAUAAAAUAAACGAAGCAGAAGCGGGUAGCGUGCUAUUUAUCUCUUAAAAAAAAAAAAAAUUUAAUAAUAGCAUGCCCCACUUUACCAAAGCGUUGAUAUGGCCUAGGUAAAGCAACAUUAUAGCCUAGAUGGGCUAACAUUGGCCAUGCUAAUCUUUGGACCCAAUCUAAGCUUGCUAAAGAACACAUGGGAGGAGCCUGUACGCGCAUAAUAUAAUAAAUGAAAUUGCCCAAAAAGUCCUGCACAUUAAAUAAAGGGGUGCAUCCAAAGUAAUCCAUGCCAGCUUUUGUUUGUAUGACCGGAAAAAGGGGCCAAUCUGUAAAGGACAUGCACAUGAUCCCCCACCAAUCACCAUUGCAAAGCAGAAGGAAAAGGAAAAGGCAAAAGCAAAGCAAAGCCAUGAUGACUGUGAGAGAAAACAGAGUGCAUGUGACAUCCCUUCCCUCAUAUCUUGAACUACAUAUGCACUGCUGGGUUCGAACUAAAUUAUUGAACCGAGCUACCUAAUUCAUUUCGGUUGAUUUAGUUCAGUUAAUUGCUCCUUAAAUUUGUAACUAAAAUCCUGAAAGCAAAAAAAAAAAAAAAAAAAAAAAAUCAUGAAAUAGUUGGAUAUAUAAUAAUCUUUUAUCAGCGUAAAUAGAAUAUAACCGAACCGAUCCAAUUAUUUUGGUUCGGUUCGAUCUGUGGGCCAGUUUGGCCAUGCCACACCUGCUCUUCUUCUCCAAAAAGGGGAGAGGACUGAAAAAUCAUAUUUAAAGCGGAAAGGAAGUGUGAGAAUGGAAGUGGAGAAGAUGAUGGGAUCCUCUCCAGUACACCCUAGAAAUUCCAGCAAUGGACCCAACACCACCACCUUUACUCUUUGGAAGCUUUAUAACAACCCAAACUACGCGCUCCGCCUCAAUGAUUCCCCCCGACAUUGCCCCAACCCACCUUUAAUUUCGUCCCCAUCGCUCCGCGGCAUUACGUCGAACACCUCGCGGGCGAUGGACGGGGCCGGCGCCGAGCUGGAGAUGGCGAAAGCCCAGAUCCGGGAACUGCGGGCGGAGCUCGAGUUCGAGCGGCGGAUGCGGCGGAAGGUGGAGGCGCUGAACAAGGUGCUCGCGGCGGAGCUCGCGGAGGAGCGCGGGGCCCGGGAGGCGGCGGAGGCCCACUUCCGGGGACUCGAGGCGGAGGUGGAGGGCAAGCGCGGGGAGGUGGAGAACGCUCUAGCGGAGAUCGAAGAGGAGCGGAGGAUGCUGAGGGUUGCGGAGGUGUGGAGGGAGGAGAGGGUUCAGAUGAAGCUCGCGGAGGCGAAGCUCCUCAUGGAGGAGACGCUCCGGGGGAGGAGGGAGGAGAAGCCGCGGGGCCACACGUGCGAGGGCUGCAGCAUUCGUCCAGUUAUGGGUCCCACCGGUCAGAGCGGUCAACACAGUCAAAAUAGUCAACACCAAGUCGGUCAACAGCGGAGGGCGGAGGCGGUGAACCCGCACAUUAAGAGAGGGAUUAAGGGGUUCGUGGAGUUCCCCAAAGUGAUUCGGGUUCAAGCCAGAGAGGGGAAAGUCGAGCUGCAGCCGAACCUGGAGUGCCAGAGGGCGCAGCUCCGGGUGCUGUUGAGGCACAAGAGCUCGGUCGGACUGAGCCUUCUGGGCGCGUCGAGUAAUUUGGUCAUGUGAGGUUUGUAUUUAUAUUGUCGUCUUGUUUUUUUAUUUUUUGUCUAAUUUUCUUUGUUGACUACAAAGAGGAUGAUCCAUUUUAAACUUGUGUUUGGACGGUACAAUCUAUUUGAAAUCAGGUAUAGUCCACUACUACUAGUUAAGAAUUUCACUUUAAUCCACAAACAGCUAUUUAAUAUUUAAAAUUCUAAAUGUUAAAAUCAUGUGUUUUAAUCCUUAUUAUUUUUAUUUAUUAUUACUGAAAAAUUAUUUAAUUAUUUUUUUUAUUUAAUUCAUCUCUAUUUUUAUGCACCAUAAAUAUAUCAAAUUUUGAGCUUUCAUUUCACAUUUCAACUCUCUCAUCCAUAGAUUAUAGUUUUGUUUUAUAUCUAAAAAUUAAAGCGCUAUAUAUAUUAAAACUAUAAGAUAGUGAGAAAGCAAUAAAUUUGUAGUUCUUGGACAUUCUAAUAAAUCAAGUACAGACAAUAUUUUUUUAUUAAAAAAAUUAGGAGUAAAAUAAAAGAAUUUUAAAAGUUUUCUUUUAGUUUGACAAGUAUAAUAAAACUCAAUUAAAAUGUAGAAAAUGAUUGUAUUAUUGACAUCAAUUUUUUUAAUAGUAAUGUUUAACGUUAUACUUAAUAUUUGAAUAAAAUUUGAUCAAUUCGAUUCUAACUUCCACAACCGGGUUGAAUAGAUCCCUUCUCCACUUAUAUCUCGUUGAUGAAAAAUUAAUUUAUGAGCUGAUUUGUAAGUACGAAAUGCUUUCAUUUGGUCAACACUUUUAACUCGGUCCAUCAUUCAAGAAAACUCAGAUGGAAUGCAACAAAUGCAACAGCAUUUUAUUAAGCCUAAUUGAAGUCCAUCUAACAUAACUAUCCAUAUCGUUAUCAAUUUUAUUUUAACUCUUUAAUGUAUACUUAAAAUAGCUAUAAACUAUCAUGAUUGUUUCUAUAAUUUAAUUUUCUAUUUAGAACAGAUAAAAAUCUACUUAAAUAGAUAGGAAUAUAGUUUUAUUUAUUGUGUUUAUAAUUUUAGCUAAAAAUUUCUUUAAAUACAUAGACAUAUUGCCCGACAAAUCUCUUAAAUUAUUAAACAAAUAAAUGAUAAUUAAAUCGCCCAAAGUAUGAAAGAUAUCUAUAAAUAAAUUUUCUAGAAAAUAGAAUAAAUCAUUUUUUAUGUAAAAUGUGUUGUCUUUGAAUUGUUAGAGUUAUUAAAAUUUGGUAGUUGCUAAAAACUAAAUUUAUAAAAAGGUUACAUAUAAAAUAUAAUUUCUUUUGUUGUUAAAAUUCUUUUUUUUCUUUUUUUUUAUUGAUUGUAUCGGAAAUAUAAUCAAAAUUGUAUAAUAUUAUCAUAUAAGAAAAAAUUAAUACAACUUUUAAAUAAUUUUCUUUAAAAUUGUACUUUUUUCCGGUUUACUCUAAUAUCCCAAACUACCAAUUUUAAAAAUUACAUUUUUCUUUUGUUAUACUACAAAUUUUAUUUUCCUUUCGACUGAGAUUAAAAUUUGAUUAUUAAGUAUACAACAACCUAACAACAAGCUUUAACAAUUUAGGUCCUUUAUAUAUCUCCUAUUUCUUCAUCAUACAUAGUAAAUGAAUUUUCCUUCACGCAAAGUCUGUAGUGAUAUCAAUGCAUGUGGAACUCAUGAAAAGUGGCAUAAGAAAUUUAAUCAACAUUUCUACUUAUAUCAUAUAAAAAAAAAUUAAUAUAACUUUUAAAUAAUUUUCUCUAAAAUUGUACUAUUCCAGUUAACUCUAAUAUCCCAAACUACCAAUUUUAAAAAUUACCUUUUUUUUUUUGUUAUACCACAAAUUUUAUUUUCCUUUCCACUGAGAUUAAAAUCUGAUUAUUAAGUAUACAACAACCUAACAACAAGCUUAACAAUUUAGGUCCCUUAUAUAUCUCCUAUUUCUACAUCAUACAUAAUAAAUAUGAAUUUUCCUUCAUGCAAAGUCUGUAGUAAUAUCAAUGCACAUGGAUCUCAUGAAAAGUGGCAUAAGAACUUUAACCAACAUUUCUACAUGACUAUGAAGCUCAAGAAGAUCAACCGUCCCAGCACAAGUGACAAAAGACAUAAUAACAUAUAUCCAAAGUUCCAAAUUUGAUGUCUAUUUAAUUCACAUUUAGAGCUAAAUUUAUUUUUUAAAAAAUAAACGACUCUCAAAAAGAAAAAAAAAAAGAAUUGAAGCUCGAGACGACCCAAUUCAAAGCCCGGUGUCACGGACAAAAUAUUUUCCGCUGACUUCUCCUUGACAGUGGCCCAAAUCUGCUUAGCAAGUUCGGGUUGAAGACGGGUCGAAUCGGGUUGUCAAGGAGACCCAAACCCAACCCGCUGUGGGAAACUCAAGAGUUAGGUAACUCAUGGGAGUUAUGGAGUGACUUUUAGGCUUUUAGUCAUUAUGAGGGCUCAUUACUAUGUGGCUAGUGGGUGAGUUAAUGUGUCUCAUAAUGAAAGAGUUAGUGUGUGUCUAGGUUCAUUGUAUCUAGGAGCCUAUAAGUAGUGGGGUUUGGUUAAGAUCAAAACACACAAAAGAGAGUGUGUAUGUGUCGGUUGUAAUCUCUUUUCUAAGUAAUGUAGUACUUAGUUUUUUGAGUGAACUUCUGCCUCUCUCUCUUUGUCAUUCCCUUUGCGUACUUAGUCGUAGGACGCGAAGGUCCGGACUAGCAAUAGGGACGAAGGCUUGCCCAUCUUCGAGCAGGAAGGCGGGCGCCGCACGGGCUUUGCGAACAGAAACGCUAAGGCCGUGACAGUUGGUAUCAGAGCCGAUUCGAGAAGGAACCAUGUCUUUGUCAGAAGCUGUCCUCGUUGACGUUGUGCCCGAGCGGGAGCGAACCGAGGGCGAUCGAGGUGAACCAUCAAAGACGAGCAAGGCCAAAAGUGGGGGAGAGCACCGCGAUCCAUGGGACGCAAAAGGGUGCAACGAGAGUUCAACUCUGACAGCCCUGCAGCUUUGCGAGGAGGUGAAACGCGGGAAGGCUGGGGACCUCGAGGAGGAGGGCCUGAGCAGCGGCGAGACUAUCGAGUCUCAUGCAGCGCUGGAGCGGCCAGCGUCCAAGCAAAGUGCAAGUCAUUCGGCUAAGGAGCCUGCGAGGACCAAAAGGCGUUCUACAGCUUGGCGGAGUACGCGUGUGUGUUGCGGAGGACAUGCACACCCGGUGCAUUUUGCAGAUUGGCAGAGUGCGCGUGCGUGUCGCGGAGGACAUGCACAUCCGAUGAACUCUUCGCACAGCAGGCUCGCUGGUGCACUUGCUCAGAAGUGCAAGACACUAGGUGCUGGUGCGGGGACAGAUGCGGACAUUGGGAGCAAGGCACGGGGUCGAUCGCGCGCGAAGGCACGACGAACCGCGCAGAAGGCUAUGCGGACUGAGAGCGACUCGGCGCGCGACGAGGGCGUCUGUGCAUUAGGUGGGGGAGAAUGUCACGGACAAAAUAUUUUCUGCUGACUUCUCCUUGACAGUGGCCCAAAUCUGCUUAGCAAGUUCGGGUUGAAGACGGGUCGAAUCGGGUUGUCAAGGAGACCAAAACCCAACCCGCUGUGGGAAACUCAAGAGUUAGGUAACUCAUGGGAGUUAUGGGGUGACUCUUAGGCUUUUAGUCAUUAUGAGGGCUCAUUACUAUGUGGCUAGUGGGUGAGUUAAUGUGUCUCAUAAUAAGAGAGUUAGUGUGUGUCUAGGUUCAUUGUAUCUAGGAGCCUAUAAGUAGUGGGGUUUGGUUAAGAUCAAAACACACAAGAGAGAGUGUGUAUGUAUCGGUUGUAAUCUCUUUUCUAAGUAAUGUAGUACUUAAUUUUUUUAGUGAACUUCUGCCUCUCUCUCUUUGUCAUUCCCUUUGCGUACUUAGUUGUAGGACGCGAAGAUCCGGACUAGCAAUAGGGACGAAAGCUUGCCCAUCUUCGAGCAGGAAGGCGGACGCCGCACGAGCUUUGCGAACAGAAACGCUAAGGCCGUGACACCGGGCUGAAAAGCCUAUGCCCAAGUCUAGACGACUGAAAACUGUUUGUUCCAGAGAAAUCGUUGUUGUCGAUUCAAGUUUCUCAGAUAACUAUCCCUUGCACGUGAUACAUCCUUGGUCAUUAUAAACUACACACAUAUUUCCAUAUCAAGAUCAAAACUUAAUUACAUCAUAUUUUUAACUAAAUUUAUUUCUA